ACUAAGAAAAGCACUGAGUCUCCAUAAAACAUUUUUAAGAGCCCUCAAUUCUUGAAAGAGUACGUCCCAAUACUACAGCAAUACCUUGGUUAACUUGUUUCUUAUUCCAUAUUUAUCAGGUUGUUCUUGGCCUAAAAUUCAUUAACUUAACUACAGCCUACAGCCUAAGAUCUAAUUCUAUGACUUGGUACAUAUUUCACUCUCCAUGAGUCUGGUGCCAAGGUAAUGUCAGGAAAUAUACCAUCCUUCUGUUACAGCUAAAUCUUUUACAGCAUCCUAAUUGAAAUUUGUCAAUUCCAGUGACCUGCAGAGGUAUGGUAAUUCUUUAAAAGACAUAGCAUACUUUUCAAAAAACAAAAGGACCUAUUCAACUCCCAAAACAUGCAUUCAGCACAAUAAGCACAACCAAAAUUAGUGGCAAAUUAAUGGAAAGGAAUUUCAGGAACUUGACUUAAAUUCUUGACAGUUAACUUGGAUAACUCAAAAUCCGCCGCCCGGGGGGGGAACCAGCCCAAGAUGAAAGGGUAAAUUACCUCAAACAAUGCUUCAGCAAGCAUGACUAUUCGUGAAAUGCUUGCACGAGCACCAGACUCCUCAGCCCUUAACAUCAAACCACAUGAGCAUGCACCAUCAGGGUGAAUUCCAGCUGGACAGGUGGCUGCCCGUCGAUCAGUCCCACUUCGACCAACAUCGUGAAAUCGUUCCCAUAUCUGCUAGGGAAUAAUGGUGCUUGAUAAAGUAAGAUUUAACCAUGCAGAUGGGAUACCACUAGUAAAUUAACAGUGAAGUCAAGACAUGCAGUCAAAAUCUAACUUAGAUUCUAGAUCAGUUUUAACGCUGAGGAGGACUGGCACAUAGACUAAUGGAACCAAUAGGAUAGAGGCGCAAUCUACAUGAUAUGAUGGAAAACAUAGUGUCGUAACUACAAAACAAAUUAAUUGUAGCUAGAAGUAUUCUGAUAAAUGGAAGACCAGUAGUAUCUGAGCAAUUACCUCAGAACUGGAAUGCCACCGACGUUCAUUGGUAUUCUGGUCGCUACUUGGAUGUGGUCGUGAAUCACCUCCAAUCCCAUCCUCAAAGAAAUCGCCAUUAAAAUCAAGAAGCCAUCUGUCAUAAGAUUCAAGUCCAUCGGAGUCAUCUGCUGUAAAAAGAUGUGAUCUGGACUCUGCAUUCCUUCUAGAACUGCGUCUUGAGAAAGCAUCCCAGAAAAGUCUUCUGCUAUUAUGUCUUGCUUCAUGAUUGCUCAAUCCAGCAGAACUACUAGGUGACAUAUUGGAGGAGACACUCACCAUGUCAACUUGAAGUACAUUCCUGUCUGUAUGACCCUGAUCUCUCUCUGUCAACAGGAAUCCUAGACUCGAAGGAGUAAUCUGCUGAGAAGUAUCACCCACUGGAGAUUCAGAAAGAACAGAUGCUGAACCAGAAUCACAGUCGUGGAAAAGCAUCAGUUCAUUUGCACAAUUUUCAACUGAUACUUCAUCUGAUGAAGAUUCUCCAAGUCCAACAGAAGAUGGACAAUUAGAAAGCAUAAAGCCAGCACAACUAUGAGGCACAUUCUCAUUCAUCACAUUGUUACCCCGGUUAAGAGCAUCUGCAUUCGCCCUGGCAUUUGCAGAUUCUGUUUCUGUAGAAGGUUCAUCUUCAUAGGAUGUACUAGCAUCAUAGCUUCUACAAGUAAGAAGUGAUUGAGAAUUAAACGCUAAUUCCUUAUUCUCAUACAACCUUUUUCCUUUAUCAAUUGCCUCAACAUUUCCAGGAGAAUCUUCUCUAGAAGAGCUAUCGCCAGGCAAUGUGCCUCUUUGAGAUCCAGCUCCAGUUUCAGUUGUAGGAAUUGGAUGUUCAGUACCACUGUGAAAAGAAGAACUCUUAGGUGGAAUUUGGAUCUUCUCCAGACCAUCGUCUUCAGCAGAAUUUACCAGUUUUUCAGCUGGAUCAUCUUCCAUCUACAGAAAACAAUGGCCAAUAAAAAAAACUUAAACUUCAAUACCUAACCUACCUAGCCCAUUUCAAAACUUUAUUCAAAAAAAUGCAAUCCAACAAAGCAUGGAAGUCUUUCUUUGCUCCAAACAAAACAAAAAAAUAAUUCAGCAAAUUUAAAUGAUAUUGACACAAAAAGGCCACAAGUUAACACACCAACCACACCGGCAAACAAACGUAAAACCAUGCUUUGACUGCAGUUGGUUUUAUCAGCUGUACUCGAGAGUUAAAUAAUCACAGUUGAUGAUAAUAUUGCUCUCCUUUUCCUGUUACAGAACUGCAUAUGAGAUUUACACCUCACAUGGCUCUUCCAGAAGACAAAUACAUCAAAUCACUAAUUAAAAUAAUAUUUCCGCAAGAAAGGUUUGGCAGAAAGCCAGAAGAGCAGAGAGGGUUUCAAACAAACUUGCCCCAAUCCACACAAUACUUUUGCAUGCUCCAAUCUGGAAGGAAAGGCAGCACGUACAAGAAUUAUCUUCAAAUCAAGCAUACAGAUCUCAGAAGUUGCAAAUGAACCAGACAUUGCUAUCGUAUAUUAGUAUCUGCUCAUACACCUAAUAGAGUAAAUAAGAAGUAAAUAAAAAAAUAAUAAUAAAAAACCGAUUCCUCUUUCACUCUCAGGUUUACUCAAAAUAGUAACAUUUCCUCUCCUCUUCCCUCAGUUUCACUGUUAUUUCAGUAUCAAGUUCUGAAUUCAAGCUCCCAUACUGAGAAGAAGCUCAAUUCACUACAACCUAACAACUUCACCAGAAAAAAAAAAUUACAAGCUCCUCAACAAACAACGUUUAGUUUCGCACGCCAAUCAUUUAAUUCCACGAACAGAAUAUGCAAAGAUAGCAUUGCAUUCCAAAUGUGCAAGUAAUAUAUCCAGCCAUUUCAAGUUUUCUACAAUAAAAAAAUGCCCAAACUCUUCUUUUGUUCCGAAAAUCAAUUUUUCUUUUUCACUAUAAUUUUCCGAUCAGAAUCUAAUAGACUCUUAGACCCAUAAAAUAAACCAAAAAGUAAUUCUUCCCCGCGCUCAUCAUCCUAAAUCAGCCGUCACCAACAACAUUUGUCACCACCCCCACCCGGAAAAGCUCUUUACCGUUGAAGAGGAACUCAACUAAGCAACCUAUGUAAUUUUUAUGGGCCUUAUUAAAAAUGCAUGAUUUUAUCAGCUAGAAUAUAAACCAAUCAAGAAAUGCACCACAUGCCAAUCACUUUCCAACGGUUUUAAGUUAAAAAUUAAAAUAACCAAAAAAAAUCCUGAAAUCCUGAAAUAUGAAGUACCAAAAUCCAUGUAUAAAAGAAAAUGAUUCAUAUUACAUAAAACCUGUGGAGACACCUCAUGAGGAUGGCGAGAGGAAGGCAAGGCACCACAAAUGAAGAGAGAAGAGAGGACGCGUUUGAAGCUGGGACGAUGACGACGACGAUGAUGAUGCUGAGGGAGCCGAGAAGGGGGUGGGCGAGAGCCCCCUAAACGGCUACCACUGGAACCCAUUUUUAUCGAUCAAAAUUGGUAAUCAAAUGAAAACUCUCUUCUCCCAUCAUGAAAUCCUGAGGGAAGAGAGGGACGAUGUGAAAUUAUUCUAACAUUUUUCAUUCUAAACUUUUCUUGUUUUCUGUAUUUUUCAGAUUCUUAGAGGGGACGGUGGUGAUAAAUGAAAUUGGAGGGCUGAGUCAGUGGCAAGGUGUACGGGUGAGAUGUCUCUUUUGCUUCAUUUUUAUUUUUUCCUUUUUUCCAUUGUUUUGAAAACGAGUUGAAAAGUUCACUAAGUACGAUAAUAUAUAAGUUUAAAAAAUUUUAAAUAUAUGUAUCUCUUUAUUUAAUUUAUAAUGUAAAAUAAAAUGAUUCAAUUUAAUAUUUUAUUUUUUAAAUCACAAAAAUUAUUCUAAAAAUAUCAAAUUUGAGCUUUUAUGAAAAGUGUUUUUAACACAAAAAAACACCAUUCUUAAUUUUAUGAAAUGAUAUUUAUCAAAUGUAUUAAAAAUGCUUUUAACACCUAAAAAUGCUAUUUUAAAAAAAAAAUAUCACAACCCCAAACGAACCUUAGUUGCGUGAUAACUGAACUAAAUAGUAAAUAGUUGGAGUAUGUGUUUGGUAGCGAUAUUUCUCCAUCUCGUUGCUUUCACAUGACUGCGGAAAGUGACCAAAUUUUAGGAUGAUACUUGAGGGUUAAUUGUCUUUUCGAUAUAGACUUUCCAUCUAAGCUUUUAACCAGAUUUUAGUAGGUUAGGAUGGUCUUGUUGAUAGUUGAAAGGGAUUGUGUCAAAAUAUAACAAAAUCUUGCACAUGACAGAAUUGGAUAGAGUAAAUGUUAAUGGCAUUUAAAUUAUUUAUUAAUGAAACUUCGUUUGUUUUUUUCUUUUGCAUGUAAUUCUGUAUAAGAGUACAAGCGAGAUGGAGUGCCAUUGACAAUCGUUGCAAUACCAUUGUUAGAUAUUUUUUUUCCCCAUUUACUUUGUUUUAUGAUGAAUUGUGAAUGAUAGCAUCAUAAUAUCGGGUUACAUAUAUACAAUAUAUUGUUAGCAUAUCUUUAGGAGUAAAGCACGGCCUAUGUUUUUGCUCCUGUAUUAUGUGACAACUUUCGAAGAUUUGAAAAAAGACUGAAUUGGUUAAUAAGAUGGGAGGGAUUAUAAUUUAUAAGAGUAAUUUUAAAAACUUGCCCUGAGAUUUUUGACAAUUGCAGACAACUCCGAUCCCCUUACGUUUUGAAAAUUACACAUACUUUCUCUAGAACAUAGGCUUGGGUUUCACCUCAAUAAUGUAAGACCAAAAAAGUAUAUGAACGCCCAAAAUUGCCCUCAUCUAAUUUUCAAAAUAUGAAUAGUCAUUACAAUUUUUUAAAAAUUAAGAAUACACUUGUAUACUACAAAAUUAUGAGUUUUAUUACUUAGUCAAUGUCCUGAUGUUUUCCAUCCCAUGGUUUUCUACAUCCACACAAAUUUUCAAACUCUUAUCACUUUUUCUUUUUCCGAACAAACUCUUUAUUUUAGAUGCCAAAAUUCACCAUCAUAAUUUUUACCUUUAUAAUCUUUACAUCUUUAUAGGUUUCUUCCAUAUACUGCCUACCAAACUGUCAGCCAUAAAACUCACAAUUCUCAUCUUUUUCCCACUCAAAUAGCCAAGCCCCUCAAUUACCAAAUUCUUCCUUAUGUGAGUGAUAGAAGGUUACAAUUUAAUGGACAUGGGUGAAACAGUUUGGUCACAAUAUGUGACUUGGUCAAGAAGAAUUGUUUUUUCUUUUUUUUUUGGUUAUCUUUUUUAUCAAUGACUUGUCUUUGAAAAAAUUAUGAAGGUUAUUAUAGUUAUUGUCUAUCAUCAAGAGAGGUAAGUAUAAUAUUGAAAACCUCAAAGGAGCUCAAUGAAAUUGUUACAAAAGUCAGGGGAGGUUUCUGAAAUUAUCCCUAAUUUAUAAGUAGGAGGUUUUGGAUUUUAUUUAAAAAAAAAAAAAAAAAAAAAAACUUUGCAAGGAUUCCAAUCUCGGCAGAGGGUUUAUAUUUUAUUGUCUGGAGCCAUUUGAAGAUUCAAACCAACACCAUUCAGUGGACAGUGCAGAACACACAUUGGUCCUGCUGCACUCACCAUGCCACACUCAGGAUUUUCAAGAUUUAGCCCACAUUACAUUACAUUACAAUGGCCGUUGCGUGUGUGUUUAGAAUUGCUUUUCACUGAAUUGGACAGUUAAUAUCUAAGCCAUUUGCAUUCUCAGCAUCUGUGGUUGCCAGAUCAAUCGUCAAUGGAAGAAUAGGACAAAGGGAAGAUUGUUUCAUUGAACGUUCAACAUCGGAAUCUUGAUUUGUAGAUAGUAGUAAUCAUUUUCUGUGAAUGUUGGUUAGAAACCUAACGCUCGUAGCUUGAGGUCUGACCGGCAGUUAGCUGUGAAUAUCCAAUCUCAUCCCACGUAAAACAAUUCAAACACAAUUCCAGAUUUUCAGAAUUCGACCUAUAAAUACUACUCUUGCUCAACGUUCGUUUCCUCAAAUUCCCUACGACAUCUUACAUCUACCAUUCCGCUUGUCCUUCAGCAGCAGCCCAUCAGCAUGCGCGAUCCGCCGCCACCGCCACCGCCAAACACGCAUCCUCCUCCACACCACGAACCGACUCCUCCUCCUGGCCAUCACCAUCACCCCCCGCCCCCUCAUGAACCACUUCCGAAGCCACAUGCACCACCUCCACCCGGUCCUCCACACAACGAACCACCUCCACCCCAUCAUGGUCACGCUCCGCCCCAUGGAUCACCCCCUGCUCCUCCUGGACAUCAUCACCACUGACGACGCUAGCUAGCUACUUCUAUCUAGAACCUAAUGCGAACGUUUUACUACUUUUACCACUACUGUUUAUGAUGUUUAAGGUUUGCAACUGCUCCACCAGCUGCUCCUUAGCCGCCUGGGCGUGAAGCAUCUACUUCUGUGUAAUAAUAUGUACUUGAAAAUAAAAAAUAAAAAGAAAAGUUAUGGAUGCUUUUUUGUUUUUUAGUACUAUUACAAUAGAACUCUGAUGCAGAAGCAACAUUUAUUCAGUUCUUGCUUUUGCUACCAACACAGAACUCAUGUCAAACCUGGACGCAGGAAACAGUCCUUUUAACAACCAAAGCUGGAAAGUGCUUGGCUACCAAAGAACUGAAGAAAUCAUAAGUUUUCAUGCUUGAAAAUUUUUAACACCCGGAAGAUGGAGUUUCCUGUUCAUAUGUCUAGAUUUCAGCGUUAAGAAUCAAGAUUGUUGCUUCUUUGCUCAUCAUGAUCCAAACUCACAUGACGGAAGUAUAGGAUGAUUUUGAACCAUCUGGUGCAAAUUUUCAUAGCCAUGUUCUUUAAAAGUAUUUAAAAAGAAAAAAUAUGUUCUAAAAUAUGAUGUAUGUGAGAUGAAAAUUAAUUACAAAAUAUGUUGAAAAAAUACUUUAAAAUUAUUUUUAUGAAAGAUGGACUAUUCAAAUUUCAACUCUAAUAGUCAAAUUCAUUAAUGAUUCUCUCCUCUUAAAUAAAGUUUUCAAGCUAUGUCUCUCUUUUGUACCCAUUCAAUUUUGAAAUAAGUUUCUUUUUAGAAUAUCUUCUUUGAAGAUUUUAUUCAUAUAUUUUUUAAAUCAGCAAUUCUUAAAUCUCAUAUAUAUACACACACAUGCACACGUGUGUGUCCACGCGCGUGUAGUAGUGCACGACUGAGAUUCUUUUAUUCUAGUUUCCUUUAGGCCAAUUGGGCCUUCCUCUAGCACAAGUUAGAAUGCAAUUGACAGUCGGCCCAUUUGCGACAAGUUUUAAUAAGUUCAAUCCCGUCUAACUUAGUAAAAUAUUUGAAUUUCUAACCAUGAGUCUUGGAGUAAUAUAUGUGAAACUCAUACUUGACUCACAAUAUAUUCGGCUUUUGAAUCUAAUUCGAGUUUAUCCUAAACUCAUUUAUUACUACUUAAUUUUCUUAAUAUAAUUAUUAUAACCAUUAAGUAGUAAAGUUAAUUUGAAAUCUACGACAUUAUAAUUACACAUAAACUAGUAAAAAGCUCAUUAAAAAUACUAUUGUAUCUAUUUCAUUUAAAAUACAUGAAUAAUAAUAAUAAUACAUGAAAAAUAUAUUUAUUUAAUGAAAAUAAUUCUUUUUCUAUUAAUUACCGUAUUUUAAUUAUACAUUACAUAUUUAAAAAUAAUACAUUUAUAGUUACAUAUAUUAGGGUACAUAUAUAUAAUUAUAUAUCAAAAUAUUGAUAUAUUAUAUGGAUUAAUCUUUCCUACACUGACAGUGUAUAACGUUGGAUAAAUGACAACUAUAUAAAAUUUGAAUUUGAAAUUCAACUUUUGCACACAUGUCAUGAAUCCAACGGUAAUAGUGUAUACACUAUCAGUAUAUAUAAAAUUUACUUAUAUUAUAUAUAUGUGUGUGUAUGUGUGUAUGUGUGUAUGUGUGUAUGUGUGUGUAUAUAUAUAUAUAAUGGGCCAAGCUUUUAUCGAAUUGAACCAUGGAGACUCGAAUUUGGCUCACAUUUUAAUUGAACUUUAAAUUUAGGCCCAAACUCUGCUUGUCUAGAAUUAUAACAGGCAUGGCCCCUUUUCUUUUGAGCAAAAUGGGCUAAGUUCGGACUGAUCCAACACUAUUAAUAGUCCUAAAUAGGGAUAGAAGUUGACAAUUGAUAUAUGAAAAAAAAGAGUAAUAAUUAUUGCAAAACAUAUUAAAGGCUAGCAAUAUAAAAGUAAUCACAUUGGCAAAUUUUGAUUGAAAUCAAUAAAUGAUAGAAAAAUGUGUGCAAUUAUACCAAGUUUUCUCUCUCUUUUUUUUUUACUUAGGGGUAUUCCAGCCUUUCGGCCAGACUAAUUUCCUAAGAUUGUAUAGAGUUUAUUCUCAAAAAUAAACAGCAAGGUAGCAUAUAGAGGUAAAUCACAAGACUUGCUGAUAACUAUCAUAUUACGGAAUCAAUCGCAUUACUCGUGAGGGGUAAGUUUUCUCGUUCAUUAGAUAAAAAUAUCAUGAUCCAGCAGUCUAUUCUUAAACAAGAAAAAGGAAAGUGUUGAACUCUUUUGAAUUUAGCUUUGAACUAACGUGUUAUUCUCAGUGUUAUUAGACCCAGACCGGAUCGGCUGGUUCGAUCGGUCUGACCGUGAAUCGGUCUUCUUUCCAAUCUAGGCUUUGUUUGGCAAGCAAAUUUUUUGUCAAGUUUGUUUGCUACAAUUUUUUAACAACUUCAGCUAUAGUAAUCUUAAAAAAUUUCUCAAAAAUUUUAAAUUAUGCAUUUCAAAAUAUUCAAAAAUUCACACACUUCAAAAAAAAUUUCUAUAGUAAAUUACAUUAAAAUUUUAGACAAACAUCCAAAAAACUCACUUGCCAAACGGGGCCCUAGUUUGUAAUAUAAAAUUACUUUGGUCAAAAAUCAUCCAAAAUCGGCUAAACUAAUGACCUGAUUCGACUGGUUGAUCCGGUUCUUAAACUUUUUUUCUUCUUUUUUCCAAACAUAAUCUGAGUUAUCUAAAUUAUAACACUUUCAUUUAUUAAUCGGAAUAAGAAAACAUCACCCAUUUAGUGUAAAUAUCAAAAAUCACUCGUUUUCCUAAAUGAUCUCUAAAUUAAGAUAUUUUCAUUCCUAUGAUCUCAUUAAUUUAGCAUCAAUUAUUCGAACUUGUAUUAAUUUGUUUUAAUUUAAUUUUUCAAGUAAUUUUGGAGAAUGUACAUAUUUUAACUAUGAAUUUACACUUUUAUAUAUAAUUAAUAGGUAUAUAUUUGAUUACAAGUCUAAUAAUUUUUGGAUCAUUUUUCAUGAUUGGCCAAAUAUAACAGAGAACUUAAUUUUAAUAUUUCUAAAACUUAUAAAAAUAUAAAAUGAUUAUAAUAUCAUCCUGACAUCAUCGGACUUUUGAGAACGGUUCGACCAAUCUGACCAGUUGACCCCCUGACCCAAGAGUUUAGCCGACUCACUUUUCGGUUUGAGUUUAAUAACAUUGGUUAUUCUUCACAUUAAGGAUGUUACUCUUCUAAGUUUACCUUUAAAAAAAAAACAAGAAGGAUAGAAACUCACGACGUGCUUGUGUCUGCAUGAUAGAUGUGUCAUAUAUAAAAACUCCUUAAAUCAAGGUGGUGGGAUGUCAUUUAAAAUUUUAAAUUUAAAUCACGAAGUGUUGUAGUAUAAAGUCGUUUAGUGUGAAAUUUUCCUUCUUUUUCUGUUUAGUUUUUCAUUUUCAAAAAAAGAUUUUUUUAAAAGCAAUAUUUUUUUUGGAAGGAUUUUAAAGCAAUUGGUUAUUGCUUCAUGCUUCUAGACAGGUCUAAGUACACAGAAAAAGCUAAAGAAAAAAGUCAGACAACUUAUAACAUGAUCAAAUUAGGCCGAAAACUUGUUGCCUUGAUGUUCUUGUGUCUGCGAAAGACCGCUGCAUUUUUUCAGGCCGCACUAUUCGUCUUCUUCCUUGUAGGCUUGUACGACAAAUUGCUACUAUAUGGAUCAGACAAUAGAUCGGUGAAAGACGUCCUCCCGUGAAUAGAUCGUUGUGCAACAAACAAGGAAAAGAAAACUAUGUAUACUCGCAUACAUAUCCUGAAAUGAUGAUGCAACUUAAAACCCUAGAUCCGCCACCACCACCAUGGCCACCGGGAUUUACCGUCUUCCCCAACCUCAAAUCCCCGCAUAGGACCCUACGUUUCCACCAAUUUCUGGUCCUCUUCCUCACCUUCACUGCCUACUCUUCCUUCCAUGCCUCCCGUAAACCUCCAAGUAUUGUCAAAUCCAUACUUGGCCCCGAAGUCCAAACUGCAAACACCACGAUCCACGUCGUGGCUUCGGUGUUUAACUCCGACCCAUUUCAAUCCAGCCAAAACCCAGGUAAAAAUGCCACUGGGUGGGCUCCGUUUAAUGGCCGACGUGGACCCCACCGUCUGGGGGAGCUGGAUCUUUCAUUCCUAUUGGCCUAUUCUGUUGGGAUGUAUUUCGCUGGCCACAUUGGUGAUAGCUUUGAUUUGAGGCUGUUCUUGACUAUAGGAAUGCUGGGCAGUGGCUGUUUAGUGAUAUUUUUCGGGUUAGGCUACUUUCUUGACGUGCAUUCUUUCGCAUUUUUCGUGAUUGUUCAGAUUUUGUGUGGAUUGUUUCAGUCCAUUGGUUGGCCUUGUGUGGUUGCAGUGGUAGGCAAUUGGUUUGAGAAGUCCAAAAGAGGGUUGAUCAUGGGGAUAUGGAAUUCUCAGGCCUCGGUUGGUAACAUUAUUGGUUCAGUAGUAGCUUCUUCAGUGCUGGGAUUUGGGUGGGGUUGGUGUUUCGUCUUACCUGGGACUUUGAUUAUAAUUGUGGCAGUUCUGGUGUAUUUGUUUCUUGUUGUCAGUCCUGAAAAUGUUGGAUUUGAGUUUCCGGAAAUGGAGAUUGAGAUGAGUGUGGAGGCAGUUGCGUUGGUGGAUUCAGAAAAAGUUGAAUCAGGAGAAGAGGGAUUUGUUGGUUCUGUGGAUGAGGGUGUUUCAGUUGCAAUUGGAUUCCUGGAAGCUUGGAGGUUGCCGGGAGUGGCCCCUUAUGCUUUCUCCCUGUUCUUCUCCAAGCUUGUUGCUUAUACCUUUCUUUAUUGGUUGCCUUUUUACCUAAGGCACACAGGUAAUUGUCUAAUCCUCAUUUUUUCAAUUUGUGAUGCAAAUUUUGAUUUUUGAACGUAACCCAAAGGGGAAGAAAGAGUGUCUUUUUAUUUGUAUGUCUAGCUUAUGGUUUUAUCCAGAGCUGAGAGUACUAGAGCUUUAAAUGAUUUUCGGUUCAAAUGACUAUCAAAUGAGAUCGCAGAUUAUGUUACUUGUUACAUUGCCAUUUAUAGCUGCUUAAGUUUUAUAUGCUACACAAAGAGAAAUGCAUUGCGUAGUGUCUGAAUCUUAUAGAAAUUAGAUUCCAUAUUUAUUGUGUGGGAAAGAGAACUUUCAGACAAUUUAUAAAGUAGAAAAUCCUAAUCGUUCGAGUUAAAUAUGCAUUAUGUUAACCUUUUUUUUUUCAAUAUUGGAAUUUGUGUUCCUGGAGCUGAUGUUGUUCAGUUCAUCUACUUGUCUGAUCAAACUGUUUGAUAUUCACAACGAUGUGUUUGGUCUUGUUUUGAAGCCAUUGGCGGGGUGCACGUGUCUCACAGAACUGCUGGCAUCCUUUCAACGAUUUUUGAUAUUGGAGGUGUUGCUGGUGGCAUUCUGGCAGGAUUCAUAUCUGACCUAAUUGAAGCUCAAGCUGUUAGCUCUCUUCUAUUCUUCUUGUUAUCGAUUCCAGCCCUUGUUUUGUAUCGCAUUUAUGGAAGUGUGUCUAUGGUAUGGAAUAUUGCAUUAAUGUUUGUUUCUGGGUUGCUGGUCAAUGGGCCGUACUCGCUAAUUACCACAGCUGUUGCCACUGAUCUUGGUACCCAGAGUGUGAUUAAAGGUAACUCUCGUGCCUUAGCCACGGUUUCUGCAAUCAUAGAUGGUACUGGUUCUGUUGGGGCAGCAAUUGGGCCCCUUCUGGCUGGUUACAUAUCAACUGGAGGAUGGAACAGCGUGUUUUUUAUGCUCAUUGUUUCAAUAUUCUUGGCAAGCUUGUUAUUGAUUCAUCUUGUAAAGAAUGAGAUUAAAGGAAAGCUGAAUGAGGGAAAAUGGCUUUGGUUCCAUGUGAUUACUCAUUAACUAUAAACUCUAGUCUACAGUAUUAUACACAUUUAUCGUCUAUUAUGUGAGAGACAGGAUUGUUUAUUGCCAUUGAGACUACGGUUACUCCAGUGAUAGUUCGUGUAUCUUACCAGAGAAAGGAUUCCUACAUUGUAUACUAGUAUGCAGGAUAAAUCACAUGAUUCUUGUACUAUGAUUUUGCAUUCUUGAGCUACCAUUUGGUCGGUUCCUUUGUAUCAUAUUGUAGUAUUGGCGGAAGAGUAGAGAAAUCUAUGAGAUGAAAUUUUGUUACCUUUUUUAGAGAAAUGUUGUACUUUGUAAUUCGUACCCCAUUUUUUAGAAGAAUGCACAUGGUUGACUUCUUUUGUUACCAUGUUGGUUCUUUAAUUCUGAUUUUGCUUCGAAGAUAAACGGAACUACUCUUGCCUCGCUAUAAGGCAAUUGUUUGUUUCACAAAAGCUAAUCUUUCCAACUUAUCAUUGAUAAGAAAAAAGACUGAAAAUGAUGAGAUUGGAAACCAAAAAGUGGAUCAAGGGAAGAAGCGGCUCUUGGCUUUUCUUGGGUAAGAUGGCUAAUGCCUGUUUUCAAUCCAUCCGUUGCUAGUUUAGAUUUUGUCGCUGGUUGUAGCCCUAUAGGUGUAUCGAGAAAUGGAAAUAAGAGGAUUGCAAUUGUAAUUCUUCAGACUGUCAGUAUCUGUGUAUAUAUGAUAGGAAACAGGAUGAAAUUCCUGAGUGAUUAGUGCUCAGACUCUCAACAUGUAACAUUGGUCCAUCAAAAAGAAUAAUUGAAGAAAAUCCCCCCCAGUGUCCCAAAAUUCAGUGCAACUAGCCACGAAGCUGGUCGGCGCAUCGUGACAUGCAGUGUGUUCCAAAGCGUUUAGAGCCUCGUCUCAGCUUCUUUAAUCCGGCUCCAAUUUCGUCGGAUCAGGGUUCUCUGCUGUCACUGGUUUACUUUUCAUGGUGAAAAUGAGGUAUUUUUGAAUUGGAUGGGAGGUUAAAUGUUGAGUACCAAUUUCAAUGUAUGAAAAAAAAAAUUAUUAUAUUUUUUCAUUUUAUUGUGCUAAUAUCUACAUUUAUUAUAUUAAUAUCUACAUUUCUUGAGUUGGCGUCUCUACUAUAGUUAGUGUCUGCACUGCACCCCACCAUUACUACUGGUGACCACAAAAAACCUGAUCCACUUGUGUGCUCAUGAUUGAAGCAGGUGGUCUAACUUGUGCGCUCAUGAUUGAAGCAGGUGGUCUAACUUGUGCGCUUAUGAUUGAAGCAGAAGCAGAAGGUCUACUAAUAACGUCAAAUUUGGAGUUUCGAAGGCACCAUAUGGUAAUGUACAGUUUUAUGAUAAAAUACCAUAUGGUAAUGUUGUUCAUUCAAUGCACAGGACAAGAAGAAAUCCAAGGCACGCGUAGGAAAUUGACAUGAUUAGAGGACAGUAAAGUUGAAGAAUCGUUGGACUCGUGUACAUCUCAAUGGUUGUCUCAUCUACACGAGAGAAGUCAUCUCCCCAUAAUGUCAUUCACUCUUUUCCUAGAACUUUACCGAUACUAAAGUACCUAUCUAGUAAAAAUGUAUUUACAGAUGCAAUUAUUUUAUCAUCAUCAUCAUCAUCAUCAUCAGCAACAGCACCGUAAUAUAUUGGGUAUGAUGGACCUCUAAUCAAUCAGACGGUUAGAAGCUAGUGGCUCUACCCUUCUAGCAGAAUUUUAAGAUUCUGAAUCCCCUCCGCCGAAAUGCUCCGCCUGAAUCUAGUCCUUUGCACUGUUAUUGAAGGUGGGGGCUCCAAGUGAAAGCAAACAAUUACUACUGUCAAGUUGUCUAUGGCCCCCCUUUUUUUUGCUUCAUUCACCAUUUCCAUGCAGCACUGUUUCACAUUAUUAUGUUCUUGCAAUCUCCUCCUCACAAAAUCUACUGCAUUCUGGCUUCUAAAAUCAUCCCAUAUACCAUCACUACCGAUUAUCAGGAACUCAUCUUCUUUAGUCAGUGUCAACAACUUGAGUUCUGGUUCUGCAGUCAAUGGACCACCCUUGUCACCUUCCUUCAGACCUUUGUGCCAAUCACCCAAUGCUCGAGUUACACCUAAUGACCCAUUCAAAUAAUCAUCAACAAUAUACCCCCCCAAAGACUCGAUUCGCAUCCUUUCAUUCAUGCAACAAGGUCUAUGAUCCUUUGACAUCUCUAUAGCCACUCCACGACGAGAAAGAACAGCUCUACAAUCUCCAGCAUUCGCUACUAAUAAUGAUCUGCAGAAAACCCCCACAAUGCAAACAAUGAAAGCGUGAUUUUACUAGCAUAAUUUUCAGCAUGAAAGACGAAUUUAACCGGAAAAUAGGUGGUCAGAUCAGUCUAGUUUGUGCAAAAGCUUUAUUCAUAUUGAUAUAAUACUUCUACUUUAGUCCUACAGCCCUACCCUAUUUUUGAAUAUCAGCCAUGUGAGCAUCAUUAUCCAAUUACGACCACAUGAAGAAGGAAGUACAAUGUACUUGAUUUUAUGCUAUCAAAUAUGUUAUCAUGUGAAAGCCUGGAUGGAUAACCAUCUUUGAAGCCGAUCAUGGUGAGAUACCAUGUUAUGUGGUGGCAAAAACUGAAGUUAAGCCAUUUACUUGAACCCAAUAGCACAUGAAACCCACUCAGCAGGUUCAAGAUUAAGCAGUAAGAGAGGACUCUGAGUUACUUGUUAAUGCUAUUAAAUGUUUAGACAAUUAGUCAUUAAGUAUAUCAACUCACCUCCCAAAUAUCAUUGCAGUGAGUGCAGUUGUGCCAGAGGACAGGGAAGGCUUAAGAAAGCAUGAAUUUGCAAAUGCAGCAUCUGUUUUCAAGAAAGACCUUGUAACCACUUUCUCAAGUUCUAAAGGAAAAUCUGCAUCUUCCACAAUAACCCUUGGUAACUGGUCACGUACAAAUUGUGCUGCAUCCUUCCCAUCGUGUCCAUCAAAUACCUGUCUUUAGUGCAACUGCAUCAGGUAUCUCAAGUUAAAAAGAAAAGGCAGGAGCAUCCACAAAGAGUAGACAAUGGACAAGUGGACAAGAGGGAGACAUGAUGACUACUAAUUGAGCUCUACAAAACAACCAGACAAACUAAAUAGGAUGUUAAUAUGAUGGGGGUACUUAGAUGACACACAGCCAUUCAGCACCACAUAGACCACAACAAAAUAAAUCUUUGGCUAACUCAUCUACUUGUACUCUAAACACAAAAGCCCAUACACCUAUAGAUAACUAUAGUAUAUAGAAAGAUAAGUAUGUUCUAGAAGCUAUAAUUUCACUUGACUAGAAGAUAAGUACGUACAUAAGAGGGAGGAAAUUUUGGGGCAGGAGGGAUUAGAGGCCCUUGUCAUGAGCCAAGCAAAGCCCUCAAGGGCUUACCAGUGUCCAGUACACUAUAUAUAUUUCAACAUUUACAUAAAUAAGGUAAACUAAAGAGUAGGGACCAGCCCAGCAGUUUCUUAACGUAAGCAUUCUAAUUUUUCAUACGAUGCUCCCAACAUUUCAAUUCAGUAUCAUUCGACUGUUUCCCUCAAUCCUAAAACACAUUCACUUUCAGAAGAUGGAAAGUUUGCACUUGACUAAUAUAAAGCUCAUUUUAACUUUUAACCCCACAAAUCAAUCAUCUAAAACUUGAAAACAUUUUAAAAAGUAGGAUUGUACCAAACUACUCCAGCAAUUGUGUACAUUCAAUCUAAAAUGGCUACACUAGACACAUGGUAUUGCUUUUCCAACCAAUGAAUGUUUAAAACUACAAUGGCAGACGUGACCUACAAUUGAAAAUCUAUAUUUUAAACCAAAGCUAAAGCUCAAAUUCCAGUCAACUGCCUCAUUUUUUCUACAAGUGAUGUUGCAAGCAGACAUUAAUUCAUUGAGGUCAAAGAACUUACACCAUACAAGGAGAUAGCUUCCUCACCAAUUUUCUGGCAUCCAAAUUUCUUAGCUAGGUCCUCAAUGCAGAUGUGAGUGUCCUCCAUAUCAGGACGACGUCCAAUGUCAGAGAACUCUCCUGACCGAAGAGCAGGAAAAAAGUUAUUCAUGGAGAUCUGUUUUCUUUCUGUAAAAGCGGUAUCCUCACCAAUGCUUUCCAGCUGACACAAAAGAGAGAAACGCAUGAGAGGGAAUACAUAGGAUGUUUGAAGUUUCAAAGAGGACACUAAUUUAUUCUCCAGUUACAGCAAUGAACACGGCCCUAAACAAGCUUAUGUUCGUUCUUGUUCAUCUGGGAAAAUGAAAAUUCUUUACAUACCUUAACAUAAGGGACCUUUUUCUGAAAUUCUGCUGCUUCAGUUAUCCAGAACAAUAAAUCUAAUUGGUUAGUUCAUCAUUUCUCUAAAUCAUAAAGUCAAGAACUUUGGGCGAUUAAGAAUAUCAGGGUAUCUUCCUAAAGGGGUUAAAAAAGAAAAAUCCUUGUGAUCUUAAAUCCAGUAGCCUUAAAAAAGCUAAAUUUCAGUCUAGUAAAAAUUAGCCUUCCCUAUCCUAUUCACCAUACAAAAAAACAGUUACCGACGAGAAAUAUACAAGUCCUCGUAUCAUCCUCAUGAUUUAUAAUAGCUCAGAUACUAGAAAGGAAUAUAAAAACAAAUUCUAUACUCACCAAAAGUCUAGACCUCUCAUAUCAAGCAAUAACCACAAAAGAGAGAGAGGGAGAGAGAGAGAGAGAGAGAGUAAUAAAGCCGCAGACUAAAAUUCAAUUGAAGAAAUCGUACAACCCAGAAAUGGACUUAAAGAUAAAAUUCAGUACGCAUACAAACAAUACUAACAGAAAAUGAAACAAAAGAAUGCGAAAUAUGAGACGUCGAUUUGAAAACAAAUCCCAUUUCUUAAUUCUUACUGGAAAGGAAUUCCUCAGCGGAACAUGAUCCAAAAUUGUGCCUUUCUCCCAAUUGUCAAUCUGGGGUGAGGUAUCAUCUUCACUGGGAGAAAAUACCAAAGGAGAAUGCAAAGGCCAAGCCUUGGAAUUUUCCUGAUUCUCGGAACAGUUCUCCAUUCCGUCCCUAACUUGCUCUGAAUCUUGAACACACAUGUUAAUAGUAUUGGAAGUUAAUUAUUCUAGUUGUAGUGAGAAAUGCACUUUGUGCCGAAAUAGAAUGGUAAGCUGUAGACUACUUGCUGCACUGUCUUGUGAAUGCAAGUUGUUGGUUGGGCUAGGAAGGAUUGGGUUCUUGAGAAGAAGAGAUGAAAAGGGUACAGAGAUAUGUGAGAAUAUAUCUGAAAAUUGAUAGACUAUGGGACUCAAGAGAAGAUUCCCAGAAUAUGUUUUUGUUGAGGAUUAAUUCUUUAAAAAAAAAAAAAAAGAGGCUAAUUAAAAGAACAAAGGCUCCUCUCCCCUGUAGCCUGUACGUGAGCAGGUGUUUACCGAGGGCUGGGAUGCUGAUAUUUUUCCAUGUUGUCGGUCCUACGCUUUCUCUCGCUCAUUGCUUUCUCUUUCGGCAAACUGCCUUCAUUUUUUUCGUCCCCCUUCUAUUUUCCCUCUUCGUAGGGAAUGCAUCUCUGAAUUUAUUUUUAUCUUUAUGAGUUCUAGUCAUCAAACACAACAAAGUUGAGGCGUUACAAAUUAGAAAUGGAAGAUUCAAAUUCUCUGUCUCGUCUCUACUUCUUAAAUCUUACUUCUUUCUUAUUUAAAAAAAAAUUAAAACGUAAAGAUUGUCAUCCUCAUGCGUCAUUUAAGUGUCUAUUUUUUGUUUAAAAAAUUUAAGACAUACAUUCCUUGGAUAAUUUUUUUAAAGGAAAUAGUAGUUUGAUCAUAUUUAAGAACUACCCCAAAUGUAGAUUACAACUUGAAAAGGUAAGUACUCACGUUGUCCUUGUACUUUAAAAGGACUUUUAGACAAUAGGUUUUAAUGAUUUAUGAUGUUUACGUUCAUGAAUUGUGACUUCAAGUAACAAUCCCAAGACUGGAAAGAAAUAUUUAGACCCUCAUUUUUGCCUUCGCUGCUGGGAUUUUGGUGUUUUCGUUCGUCAUAUAAUAAUUUAACUAGUAAGAAAAAAAGGGCAAGUAAAAGCCUAUCUUUUUAUAUUAACGGAAAAAUCUGCACAAGAACUUGGGUCUUCACGGUCACAUACUUUAGGACGUAUAGGUUCAGUUUUAACCAUAGUAAACUUUGAUCCAAUGCUCAAGUCGGCGGUUCAAGCCUACUAGUUUAGCAAACAUCAAAAGGAAGUUUUGUGCUUCCUUGUUCUUAAAAAAGUUCAGAAGUGCAUUAGUGUGCUUGUCUUGGUCAGUGAUUCACCCCACAAUUUAGUGCAAGUUACCGUAAAAGUAAGAUAGAUUAUUGUCGUUACCCAAAAAAAAAAAGAAAAAGAAAGUAUAGGUUUAGUUUAGUUUUUGAUUUUUUAAACAAUUGUCGGGUGAAAUGCAUAAAAACCAAAAAAUGAAAUUCAAUAAUUCAUUACCUUUUACAUUUCAAAACUACAAGGUACAUUUUUUCCCGGCGAAAUUUUCUUUUCCACCAUUUGCUCAUCUCUGCCGUUUCCUGGUGGUGGUUGAUGACUUGGAGGGGGUUAGUUGUUGUUGAGCUUUCUACUUUCUAGUUCUCAGGGUUGCGUGUUUUUUUUUUUUUUUGUAAUUGAUUAAAAAUUGUGUCAGGCGAGUGGUUUCCACACUUGCUUCGAACUUCAUAGUUGACCGCUAGUAUUAUAUUAAUGCUUAUAAAAUGAAUUCAUCAGUUCCUAAUCAAUUUGCACUAAAAUUUUUCUUGCCUCAUGUUCCAUUGCUCAAGCCUUUUUUUUUUCCCCAAAUUUCUUUUGAAGCUUACCAGGAAUGAAGAUUUAACUGUAUUCUACUUUGUUUUUUUAUAAUAAAAAAUAAAAAAUGUGAGUUUGGGAAAAUAAAAGUACUGCUGUUUUUCACUCAAGAAAAUCUUUUUUUCCCAUUUUUUUCUUGAUUUCAAAAAAACACAAAAUUAAUAAUGUUUGCCCUUUUUGGACUAAAUCAACCGAUGGAGGGUGUCUUUAAAGCCGUUUGAACUUUGGAAAGCUUAAAAAAAAAAAAGGAAAAGGGAAAGCGAUAGACGUUGGAUGGUAAGGAUAACAUUAAGUAUCAUAUUUUAUUCACAAUCAUGUUUCCACGAAAAUUGAAAGUGAGGGUUCCUCUUUUUCCUCUUUAAUUUACUUAAAAUUGCUUGGCGUAGGUGUGAAGUGUGAACUGGAAGAUACUUUUGUUUGUAUGCAUUGCGUAUGUGCCGUAGUAAGAUGCUGACUUUAUGCUUCUCCUUUUGGGCUUUGUUGGAAAGAAAAGGAAAGAAAGUGGGGCGCCAUGGCAGCCAAUAUCUACAAUUAGUGAACUGGGGGCCCAAAAAAAAAAAAUCUCCGAUCAUGUCCACUGGUCCAACAUUUUGUUACGAAAUCCAACGGCGACCAAUAGUCGCUGCUCGCAAGGCACAAACCCAGCCACCUAAGUCACAAGUGAUGGUGUCUUUUCUUAAUCUUGUCUUUUUGUAGGCCUACCCAGGAGGAUCCUAGACAGCCAUUCAAAUUUAACAAUUUGCCAGAAUAUUUAGACUUCAAACCUUGUAAGUUGAUCUCUAUAUAUUAGAGACGUGAAGACUGUGAAAUCCUUUUUUUUUUAAUUUUAAUAAUACAGAGAGUAUCCCAAUAUUACCAGAUUAAUCUCCUUGCAUCUUUACAUCCCGUCCCUCAAGAAUACACAAGCGAUAGAGAUAUAACUUGAACACACGAAUUCAAGACCUAACUAGGCAAUCCCGAGAGGUGAAGGCCUUUGGUCUCCUUCUUUUUUAACUGUUCCGUUCAGAUGAAGCAAAAAAUUGAGUAAGGGAAGAAAAAGCAACACACGUCGUGGACGUUGUGGUAAAAACUCUUCUGCUUUAUUCUUUUCUUCUUCCUCUUCCAUUGCCAAAAGAAUAAAAAACUGCCAUACAUAUCUCCAGCAAGAAAGCGGAUAAGAAUAAAUUGGCGCCUCAUUUUACCUUUCUACGCUUUACUCGGAAAAAUUUAACGGUGAAUUCAAAAUUAUAUCCUACUCCCUCAAGCUCGUAGCAUAAGAUCAAGUUUGGAGCUGUGGAGGCUUUGAGAUUAAUGACUAAAAUUGAGAACUCAAAAAUUAAAGACUGUAAGUUUAAAUCUCUCUCUCUCUCUCUCUUCUUGCUCUUUAAAUCUUACCCUUUUCUUGUUUGACAUAAAAGAUUUUUUUUUUUUAUAAAAAAAAAAUAACCCUCGGAGCUAGGAGUAGAAUCAACAAGAGACACUCUUUGCAUAAGUUUUGCGGAUAGAAAAUUUGGUGGGAAGAAAAGCAUAAUAAUAAUGUUGUCUAACGAAAUUUUAAAUCUGAGGUCUAAAUGCAAGCACGAAUGUCACACGCAAUCAGAAAUGUAUGGCUCCGAAGGACCCAUAAGGUGUUUGCUUGUUUUUGUUUCAUGGACUCCAAUUCCACUUCAUUCUCCUUGUCUCCUUCGACCCCGGAAAACAAAUGCCAAAAAAUAAGACUUACAUCACGAUGUCAAGCCAAUCACCUAAUUGCCCCUCUUGGUUAACGUUGCUUACAUGACAUCAUACAAUAUUUGUAGCCAUAAGAUCUAAUACAUGAGUAACAUCUUCUUUAAACACCUGAUCAAGAGAAUUUUAAAAUUUUACUUGAAUGCAGGUCAAGAGAUCAAAUUCCAUUGCCUACAUUCUAAAAUUCAACUUUCUGAAAAUGUCAUUAGUGAGUGUGUAUGCACCUAUUUGAGUUGGUGAUAAUUCAGUCAUCUCCGAAUUAUCCUUGGACUAACACCUUCUUCUUCUUCUUUUUUAUCUGAAACGGCAUACAUGAGUAACAUCUUCAUGUCAGGCUUUUGGGCUCCAAAAAUCGACCAAUGCAAAAGACGUGUACUAGUAAUGCUAUCUCCUAUUAACAUUUUUCCCAGAAAAAUGAAAAUUGAUUGCAGGUGCAACCGUGGAUCAAGAUCCGCGACCAAUAAAGUCGUGACUGGUGCGGCUUGAUUCAAAGCCCAUCAACUUUAUCGGUGUGACAAAUAUUGUGAACAAAAGGGCCUCUUUGAACGGUGUAGAAUUAACUUUAUCAUAUCUGUAACUAACUCGUCUUAGGUGAGUUAGUUAUCAAGUAAAAGCAUAAGAUGCUUGUCUAAUUAUGGGUUAGGAGAUCAAAUCUCUAUACCUACGUAACUAGGGCUGCAAACGAAUCGAGUCGUUCGCGCUCGAACUCGAGCUCAGAAUAUUAAGCUCGUUAGCUCGCGAGCUGGAGUAUAUAUAGAUAUAUAUUUUUUUAUUUAAUAAUAAAAUUACGUAUAUUAUAUUUUUAUUUUUUAUUUUCAUAGUAAAAUUACGUAUAUAUCCUUAAUAUUUGAUUAUUUAUUAACAAAAAAAAUAUUAUUUUAUUUAUUUUUUUAAAAAUAAAAUAAUUAUUUUUUAUUUUUUUCGAGCUCGAGCUCGAAAAUUGCCUGCUCGUCGAGCUCGAGCUUGGUAAAAUUCAGUCGAGGCUCGGCUCGAUUAGUUCAAAGUUCGACUCGACUCGGCUCGUUUGCAGCCCUAUACGUAACCUACCCUAAAAUCCUGGGGUAAUGCACCUGACCGUUGACACCGAGUUGAUCUUCUUGAACAAUGAAAACUUUCGAAAAAACUAGGCUAGACUUUUCGUUUUGGUGAUGGCUACACCAUUAUAUUUUAAAUUAAAGCGAGCAAGAUAUCGUUUUAUUUUCAUGCACUAUCUCUCAAAGUUAAAGUUUUCUUCACAGGAAUGACAUUAACUUGAAAGUUUGGUUAAAUAUCGUAUUGAUCGUCAAUAUCAAAAUUGAAAUAAGAUCACAGAAUUGUCAUGCGAUUUAUGGGAGGGAGGAAUUGGCCCUCCAUAUAUAAUGGGACGGUCCAUUGCCCUUAGCCUAAUGUUGUCCAAUCAUUUUCGUAUAUUUAUUAAAUGAGCCCUACCAAGUUCUUCAUAGAGAGGCAAGAUUCCAUAUGGAAGAUGACUAUUCGAUUAGCAAUAGAAUAGACUCUUAUCAUCUGUCAAGCCAAGGAUGGUGCUAGAAGAAAUCCUCUGAUUCCCUAAUAAUGGCGCCAAUCUUAUCGUUAUAUCUUCGUGCAGCAUUUUCCCAUUUCAUAAAACAACAAGACUAGAGUCCACACUUGGCCUGACGUACAAAACACAAAAACCAGGAUGGCUCAAUGGCGUUUGGUCAAACAAGAAAGAAAAAAAACAAAAAAGAGAGAAUUUCUUAAUGAGCAUAAGAACCCUCCUGGAUUUGUAACUACUAAAUAAAAAAAAAGGAUAGAUUAGGAUUUGUAACUAAUCUAUUCCUCUAGAUUAGGAUAGAUUAGGUCAUAAAAAUGUUAUCGUUGCCAUAAAAAAAUUUAUAAUUAAUAAAUAAAAAAUAAAAAAUAUGAGAAGAAAGAAGUGGGUGAAAGAGAGUUCAGUCCACACUUGGGUCUUGCACCAAACAAAGCGACCAAAUCGAAUUAAUUCCGUGAAAUUGAUUGAAGUGUUCGAUUUCUCUCUAAACCUCAGCGCUGAUACGAGUACGAAAACUCAAAAAGUUUGUCCCAGGUACAUAAUUAAUUCCUCAGACGAAAGGACUGGCCCAAACUUUUCUGGGUCUUCUUUUCAGCUAGCUAGAUCAAAUCGGCAAAGGUCGCUUAUGCCAAAAUUCAAACAUCCCAAUUUACGAGCCCAUGACCAUAUAUGGACUAAUCAACGCUGUUUGCUUAAACUGUAAAGGUCAGAUUUCUACAUUUUGAGACUUGUACAAGACCCAAGUAAGCUAUGCACAUUAGUCGAAUUCGACAAUUUAAUAAAUAUUCUUCUAAAGUUUAAAUUUUAACUUUUGACAAUACCAAAUUCUACCCUUGAAAUUUUGUCCAGUAUCUAAACUCUUGAUUUCAAUCACGCAUCACCUCACUAACGGCUUCAAACUAGCCUUCCGGGCUUUUUAAAUAUGUUUGAUAAAAUUGAAAUCUGAAAAUUCAAAAUUCGAUGUUUGAAUCCGUUGAGUUACUGAAUUAUUAAUUACUAAAUUCGAUACAUUUGAGUAUAUGUCACAUUAACUGAUAAAUGAAUAUUUUAUCGUUUAUUUUUUUAGAGCAAGUUUUGCUUAAAAAAUUGAGCAUCACUUAAUUAAUACACAUGUUCUAUCUUUUAGAAUUAAACGCGUCCGAACAUUUAAGCGUUGAAUCGAAUUGCGGCCAAACAAGGGCUUAAUCUUGCAUGCACGAUGAACUCCCGGAGAAUAAAGGAUUAGAGGCCUCUUACAAGACGAAGACGCGGGACCGGUAGAAUACCAGGAAAAAAUUGUGGACUGGACGGGCUAAAACAAAUUCCCUUAAGUUGCGGACCACCACAUUCUCCAAUCAAAAAUCUUGGCUAGGUUCAUUACAUCUGUCUAUAUAUCAAUUUGACCCAACGUAAGGCAAUCCGAGCCCACAUGUCAGCCGCGACCACUCCACCCCAAUCCCAUGCAGGUUGUGCAAUCAAAGUCUGUAACAUGGUGGCUGCUGCAGCUGCUGCUCGAUAUCUUUGCUUGGGAUGCCCUAAAGAUCUUGGUCGUAUGCAUGUCUUCCCCAACUCACAUACCUACUUCAUUUAAUGAAUCACAACUUCUUCGCAUUCAUUUCGUAGGCUGCUCUUUCACUUAAAAUUAACCACUACUUGUAUAAUCCGUCUAUAUAUGGUCCCAAAAUUUCGGCAAUACAACAUCACUUUCGGUUUUUUUUUUUCCGAGUUAUGGAAGGAACUUCCCAUCUUAAGCAGUUAAGCUACGGCAAGGCUCCCACCUUGUCCCAAGAUUAUGGCACCACUUUAUCAUCCCAUGCGUCCAUGUAUAGUUCUGUCGGUUAUGAAUUUUAUGUAAAUUUCCUUAGAGAUGAUCAGAAUGCUAGGGUUGAUUUGUGAUUAAUCUAAAGAUGAAUUCAUAAGCAACCAACAACCUUACGGAAAAGAAGAAAAAGUUGCUGCAUAAUUGCGGAACAUUCGUGUUAUUCAGUUACCAGUUUAUUAGUGAUCUCAGGAUCUCAUAAUUAAAAUACUACUAAGUAAUGAUACUUUUUGGUAGUACGGACAGUUCCCUUGAACUCCUUCAGACUUUUGGGUACGUGACAUCACAUACACAGACACAGUUGCGUGCAGCCACCGGAAAACACAACGAGCUUGUCGAAACUGACUGAUAAAAGUUGAGUGCACUUUCCUGUUAUAUAUAAGGAAGAAGGAAAAAAAAAAGAUAAAAAAGAGCCAUGACAGAUGUUAUUUUGAUCCUUCCCCUUUCUUGGGAUAAUUUUAUACUAAGCUACAAAAUGCUGAUUAGCCUCGACGGCUGAUUACCUAGCAAUAAAUUAAUCAGUGAUUAUUAUCUAAGCAAAAUAAUAAAAUGUUAUAUGUACAAAAUCUUCCUAAUCCUAAAAAAUGGCAGCAUUUUCCGCAAUGCUGUCCAACUUCUCUAGUGUCUUUCUUUAGUACUGAAUUCUUCAUGCACUAGUUGUGGAUUGGCGGUUUUCUUUUGGCCGGAGAAUAAUCCAUCCCAGCUAUGUCUAAUAUGUCCGGAUAAUGAUCGAGGGCUGUCUCCGGCGGGUGGUGAGUCAAUGGUGAUGAAUUAACUGAGAAAUUUUCUUCUUUUCCACCUGAUCUGUCACUACUUGAUUGGCCCUCCAGUACCGGCUCAGCUUUCUUAUAAUUUCCUUGGUGAUCAUUCUUGUCAUUCUGUGCAUGAACCAUGGAGUUAUGUAAAGAAGAGAGUGAGUAAAAGAGAGGGGUUUGUUUCUAUGGGUUUUCCCCCCCCUUUUUACGGCGUAAAUUAAGUAGAGUACUAUUUAGCAGAAGUUGAAACCAACCUUCGAGGUGGUGGUGGUGGUAGUGGUGGGGGUCGUGCUAGAAGGAGAGAGAGUUUUUUUCAUAACUUUUCUAUUUGAUCCUGCAAACAGUUGAAGAAAAUAAACCAUUUUCAGAACCAUUUGGGAAAUGAGACCCAAUGUAUAGUAGUGCUAAUUGAUUUGCAAUUUCUCAGAACAGCAUUUCCAUGAUUCAAUAUCUAAGCAACGCUUUAAAGUAUCAAAUCUUAGAUCACUACACGAACAAUAUCCACCAAAACGUUGAACCUCAGCUACUCAAGUUAAACACCCUUCUUUUCUUUUCGAAGUGCUAUACUUGAAGGACAAGGAUAGAAUUAAUUAAUUGUCCAAAAAUUGAAGAUGAAAGAGAAAAUUUAAUCAUACUACUACUACUACUACUACUAAUAGUAGGAAGAGAUUUAGUGAUGCUUAGGGUUGUGAAUCUUUGGUCCAUAGUAAUCCUCGUGGAUGCUUGGUAACCAAUGAUGGGAAUGCUUUGUUACUCUAGAAGAAACUCUUGUGUUCUUGGUACCUAAUUCUGAGCCAUGACUCUCCACGCUAGGGUUCACCUGAUCUUCAACUCCAAUACUACUACUGCUCAAAUCACUUUUGCCUUCCUGCAUGCAUUAAAAGAAUAAUCAAUUAUAAUUUUUUACAGUUUGUACAAAUCUUAGAGAAAAUUAAGGGGAAAACACAAGCUGUGAUAGUUAGGAAAUCAUAAAUCAUGAAAUGUUGUUGCACUUGGAUACUCACAUGGACUUUGUGUUGUUCUGCUAAGGGAGAAUCCUUUAUCAAGCGUGCACCUAUGAAAUGGUCAGAAAUAAUUCAGUAUGAAAAACACUAUUAUAAAAGAAGUGCCGCGCUGAAGGAACAUAUACUGCAUAAACGCAUGUACCUUGAGCUUGAUGAUCAACUAGGAUUGACAGAAGUAGAAGAGAGAUUAUCGAAAACUUCCUCAUUCUGGGCUAGCUUGUCAGAAAAGUGUGCUGCUAAGUGGAGCAGAAGACUGUAAAUGAUUGGCAGAUUUUUGGGAAAUCUUUAAAGGUUGAAGUUAUGGUAGGAAACAGAAUGUGAAUCUUCUUGGCCUCCUGAAAAACCUGAGCUAUGCGUUAAAGCAGGUGAAUUGUCUCGAAACACAAGGAGGGCCAGCGCAGGGGUAUAUAUAUACAGUGAGAAGGGCUAUGGCUCCACUUAUAAUUUAAAGAGCGUGGCAUUGUAUAUUAGGGGAUUUACAUAUAUGCCUUCUGUGUUCAUUUUUUUAAUACUACUUUUCUUCCUCGAAAGAGAUCUUAAACUUUUUGAUAAAGAAAAGGUUGAUUAUGAAAUUUCAAGUCAUGGUUGGAGGGGAACAAAAUGUCCACGCAAAAUAUAGGGGGCACCAUUUUCAUAAAAGCGAGAGAACUUAGGUGACCAUAUCCCAAACAAGAUGCCACUUGCUAGAAACUAAAAGAAAAGAGUUAAAAGUACAAUAUCUUUUGUAUCUUUUUUUGCAUUAUUGCCCGGUACAGCAGGCUUUGGAUGUCUCAUCUGUUGGGUGGUCGUCCUAAAUCUUUGCUCAUUUCGUAAGUGACUACACUUGGUCUCUAUCAAAUAUUUGCCACAAGGCACAAACAUCCCACAUUGUCAAAAAGCUUGAUCUUACUUUUCAUGGAUCCAUGCAAAUUGUAACAGUGUGAAUCCAAGAGGCAUAUCCCACAAUUGUGAAUGAUUGGCCAAUCGCUGACCAUCCCCUGCCCUAUGAAUCUAUUAUGAUAGUUUCUCAUCAUUCAAGGUUCCUUCUUUUCACCUCCUCAACUAGACAAUUACCUUUCCAUUUCUGUGAUUAAUCUUAUCACGUGGCCCCUGAUAUAUACGUAUAGCGUCCAAGUCCAAUGAUCAAAAUCUAUCAGUUGGACAGCACGAACAGUGAAGGAGCUAGACUUGACAACAACCUGAUGGGAGGAUUAAGGAAAGCCGUAAAUUCAAGCCUGGGAUAAGACUAGAAGCAGCCUGUGUUUUUGUUCACGACUGUUGAUGGUAAUUGGCAUUUUGGAAGCACAUGCAAUUUUGUCCCUGAAGUCAAUUCCACUCGAUUAAUAUAUUAGCUUGACUUAGUUCGACCAGUAAAUUCUCCUCGUAUCUUUGUUCAAAAUUUUUGGACUCUCCCGUAAGAAGGUGAAUCCAAGUUCCGCUCGAAUUCAAAGGUGUUAACUAGCUAGUCCAAAACUAAAUCCCCUACCAAAAAGAGGGGGAAGAUGCAUGACAAUAGAAAACCAUCACAAUUGACUUGUGAAAAACAAAAAAAAUUCGUUGUAGUGUUCUAUCAGAUUAAGCAAUCUGUGAAAUUUAAUUUUCGUUAUGUGUAGCUUGGCAUAUGAAAUUAUUCAAACACUAUUUUGUUUCUAAAAUUAAUUCUCUAGACCCAAAAAUUUUCCCAUUUGCUCUCCCAAGUUCUGCAUAAAGUUUCCUAUGUGCGAGCUUUUAACUCAAUAAGAACUUGCUCCUUUAUUGUUGAUUCUACUGUGUUUCUUUCGUUCCUCUUAAGUCUAUUUCUUUACGGAAAUGGGGGCGGCCCCUUAUAAUUAUUGGUGGCGCUUCAAAGAAAGAAAGAAAGAAAAUAAAAUAAAACAAACCGUUAGAGAGCAGGUGUGAAAAAUGAAUGAGGAGGGUCAAAGGACGUGCCACGUCGUCACCAACAUAAGGGGUCAUAGCCCAUGUGUCGAGGAAACAAGAAAGUAAAUGCGACGGCGACGGAGGACAGUCGCCGGUCCCCCGUCGUGUCCAUGCACUACAGUGAAUACGGGUAAAAUUGACAUUAUCAGGCGUGGCCGGUCUUGUCUUUUGUGGGACUCCGAUCACCGUCCAGACUGAGGUGAGCACCAUCCACGUGGACGUCUCCAUCUAGGUCCCACGGGGAGAGUGACGUGGCGCAGAAGUUGGCCACGUGGAUGCCAAUGGCUCAUGCUUUCUGCUUCUUCUUUAGGUGACAGAGAAACAGACCCAAUGGGCGACCUUGUGGGGUGAGUUGAGCUACUUGCGGCCAAUUCUUUUACUAGUCCAAAAAAUAUAUAUAUAUAUAUUUAAAAUUUGAAACUGUGGAUCGGUUUAAUUUCCGGGUCGUCGCAAAAAUGCUUCAUUUCAAGGUCCUUUCUACUUUUCUUUGCAUUAAAACGAUCCUCUUUAAUUUCCAUUUUCAUGGGUUUUUUUUUUUUUGGGGGGGUUGGCUCAUGCAAAUUGCUUAUCAAGAAAUUUUAGCUCAGUAACUUCAAAACCACGAUCAUAUGCUGAAAAGGGAUCCAGAACAAUCGUUCCAAUGCAAAUAGUACUUUGACAAGGUGUAUCCACGGUUACAGCAUUUUUUUCCAGCAUAAAACGUGACAUAAUUCUUGGGAAGACAGAAAUAUAAUCGGUCGACUUAAAAAUGACUAGGGACCAUAUGAAAUUGGUGGAAGGAUCCAUAUCAUAAACAUUAAUUAAGGUCGUUAACCGGAAUAGCCGACAAAGAAACAUUUCGUGCAUGUUCAAAGAAAACCCAAGAAACAUUUCGUGUUUUCUAGGAACUGGUUAGAAAAUAAUGGACCCCCAGCCGUCUAAUACUGGACUGCUACUAACAAAAUUCUUCUCCUCUACUGAGGUAAAAUCUUGAAGUUUAAGGUGGACUUGUUGCUGUUUCUUCUAUACAAAGCUUAGCGUUUUGCUACGGAGGCCACUUGCCAGGUGCUGCAGACUUGUAACUGACGAGACGAUGUGGAGCAGGUGUCUACAUCUCUCCAAAUAGUGGAAGGCAGCGGCUUGAUAUUCUGACAACAAAUCCAACUUGAUUUGAAUGGUCAGUGAGGCUUGUCGGAAGAAACUUGUCAUGCACCAUUAAUGGCUGAAUUAGGCAGAGAAUAACAGAAGGGCAUUUGCUUUCUUUUUUUACCAGAUAGAUGUGGCAUUUAAUGCCAAAUAGUAGUAUGUCGGAUUUGAGAAGUUGCCCAAAGAGUUCAAACAAUUUAAUUGUUUCUUUCUUUUCCUCAAUUUAUUGAAGUUUCUUAUCAUACCCUUUGACGGAAGGAAAUUUCCAUCCUGCGAGUCAUAAAUGAAUACCUCCAUCAUCUCCGCCAAACAUUAUGGUUUACUUAUAUUUUGGAAAAGAUGCUAUCCAAAUUGAAAAGAGAACGACGGGGAAAAUACGUGCCUUCCAAAAUUACACAUAAUCAUUAAGAAAACGUUUUGAAGUCUGGAAUGCAGAGCUCUCAGAUCCAGAAAGAAGGAAAACAGCUGCUUCCAUUAGGCGUGCUUUCAAAUUCUAGCCCUUUCCAACAAGUGCGACGCGUUUGAGAUUGAUGGCAUGCCAGUGCUGAUAUCCGAUUCCUUGUUCCUCUCUGUCUUCACCUUCAAACUCAAUCUAUUUGAUUAACAUCCUGAAAUGAUCGCAUGCCAAUGCUGAAUUAUGAUCAUAUGAUACUGAUCUUUGUAAUGCUAGCAUACUAGCUGCAUUAGAAACUUGAUCAUCUCACCGCGUGGUAUUGCUGAGCUUGUACUCACUUCUUCAAACGGCUUAUUGCAGCUGACAAGAUGCAUCAUUCAAUCUUUGGAUGGUCAGAGAGUAAAUUACGAAGAAAGGAGAAAGCUACAAUUAGUUAGAGUCACUGAAUCAGCCAUCAAGAAUUUUUCGCUCCUGUAUUGCUAUGUAACAAUUUAGCUUCAGGCUGAUGAUGGAGAUAGCCAGGCACUUACCUGACCAACUCCGCGAAACACGGCAUUAUUCCUUCCUCUUUCCUGGCUGAUAAAACGUAUAGAAUGAUGGGGAGAACCAACGGCGUAAUUACUCAUUUCUGCCUGGAAAGAUGUCCAGUUUUGAUUAUGAAUAUGUUGUAUUCAAAAGCAGGUACCAGAUACUGUAACCCCAGUAGUCCAGCGUAUUUGAUUUUCAAUAACAGAAUGUAACCAGAGUUUUUUUUUUUUUUUUUUAGGAAAAAGUCUUUUCUCAAUUAUGUAUAAAGAGACAAGAUAAAAAACCAGUAUUAAAAAAGAAAAAAAGUUGUAGAAACGCAGCUAUGGGAAGAUGAAUACAAUGGGAAAGAUAAAGAGGAAUUUGCAGCAUGUGCUUUUGCGGAAGCUAACAGAGUCCCUCACUGACGAAACCCUGAAUGCGUUGCACUGGGGAAACUGUAUCCCUUCUACAAGGAAGAUGCUCUUAACUGGGAUUAUGUUGAUGAUCUUGACGUUACUUCAAUUGAACUACUUUAUAUGUUGACGAAUUCAUGAUCCAUAAAGUGGAUUUUUUUUUAUAGAGGUAGCAAAUGUGUUUUAACUAUCUAUCCUGUCGUUUGUGGUCAAUAUGGGCUGUUGUCUUCUAACUCUAUGAAGGGGGAGUUGAUUGUUCAUCAAUCAAGUCAAAUAGCUCCUCCCCGAUUCCAAAUCCAAGCAUUCUGGCCAUGUCCUUCGUCUUCAAUCUAGGCAUCGGGAUGUCAUUUUCCUUUAACCAAGAAUACACAAUGAAAACCUUUUUCAUGACGAACAAUGCUAGUGCCUCUGGGUUGAAAACUACUCCCUUCUUCAUACUCAUCUGUCAAGCGAGAAGGCUCUGAUGUUAGACACGAGUAUAUGUAUGAUGUAUCCUCUCAUUCUCAAUUAUAUGAAUGAAGAAAAGGGUACAGAAGGUAGUACCUGGUGAGGAACCAACAUAGCUGCAUAACGGGCAAGCUCACCUGCUCGCCAGUCCAAUAGAACAGGGAGCCAUGGAUAAGCAGCGUCAAGUCUGACAAACCAGAGCCUAAUAUCAGGGAAUUCUGAUAGUUCUCGAGGGUCGUUUUGAUCUUCUCUUGUGUAAUUAAUGGUGAAGCCAAUUGUACGUUCAAGGAACUCCUUUGGCUUAGCUACAAAAACAAUUGUCAGACCAAAGUAAUCUAUUUCUACCUGGUUAUUUUCCACAAGACGAAUUAAUUCAUUCUGCAACUGUAUUUAGAUGAUUCUUACCAUCGGAAGGUGAAGUAAUCCCCGUUGCACUUUGGAAGGGAACCAAAUCGAGUCGUCGUAUGAUGUCAUUGUCGAUCACUACCUCAUAUCUCCCUUCUGUUGGUGGAAUUGGUGGCGGCAAGUCUGCUUGUUCUGUCAAUGAACAUUGAUUGAAGCUCUGAGCUAUUUGAGUUAUCAAUACAAUCAAAUUCCAGGCACAAUUGGCUAUGCUAAAAGAUGCCAUGAAACAUUUAAUUUCAGUGCAGUGUACUAUUUCAUUGCCCAUAUUAACAAUCUCCGUUGCAUCCUCUACAGUGGCCUCUAAUUGCUGUAAAUGAAGGUAGUAAAUAUUAUCUCUAAUUGUGCUUAAAUAAACACUGCAAGAUUGUUCUGUUUCUUUUCCUCGUCUCUAUCUUUCACUGGUUGAGUAGUUAUCAAUAACUCUGCUUAAUUGUUCUUAAUGAUUCCAGAUGGUGAAAUUAUGGGAGUAUAAGUUUCACACAGUUGUCAGUCAACACUCGAAGAAGCGCAAGGGCAAAGAUAGAAAUGGCUGAAAAGAAAGCAUGGGGCAUGUAUGACUAAAUUAGCACAAUUGCAAAAGCUAACAAUCAACAGAUUGAAGGUAAGGAAUGUUGAAAUCAAGAAAGAAAGCAGCUAAGCAAUACCUUGUUCGUCAUCAUCAUGUAAAGAAAGGUCGUACUUUCCUGACGGAUUGAAUGCAACAGAUAUAGAAGAUGGUCCCUGAGGCCGGCUUUGGUAAAAGUAAGCCGUAGGAUAGAUAGAAGAAGAUGAAGAAGAUGAAGGCAUGCAAUCCAAUUGCUGUCUAUAGGAAAUUGACGGAGCAAAAGUGGGAAUGGGCUGUUUGAAUGCAGAAAGAGGUCUGAUGGAAGCCAUGGCUGUGUGUCUCUGCUAUCUAAGGAAAAUAGAAUGUGCGUCGCUCGUGGAUAACUCAGAGCAGCAUUCUACUGGGGACAUUUGCACUUUUUUGUCUGUUUCUGUUUCAGUCUACCCCCAUCUCCCUUCUUUUCCCUAUCCAUCUCCAUUUUAUUGUGGCCUUGUGUUUGCAAACCACUUUUGUUAUCCACUUUUAGCUUUAGCAUAAUGAGCCUCCCAUCUGAAUUUUUCCCACUACGUGGACUCGUAAAUUUCUUACAUGGGCUGCUUCUUCCACUUUUGUGGGCCUCGUCGUCCUUUAUCAUCAUUUGGGAGACAAUUUCGUAUUUGGGCCACCAAAUUGCGUCGGUUAAACUUUCGACGAUGUAAUCGAACGUUAGACCCGAUAUUGGAUAAACCAGCCAACGCAAUUUCAUAGGAGUAAUUAGAGAUUCGAGGAAAGUUACAGAAGCACGGUUUUGGGAAUCCGAUUCUGCAACGAGCAUUUCCCUCGUGAAGGAAGGGGACAAAGGGAAGCCCGCGCUUCAAUCUCAUCGAUCGAUCCAUCGCAUGUACAGCUUAAUCUAGAUUGGCAUUGCAAAGUUCAAGAUACUUUGGCGCCAAGGCCAUUUUUGUGCUGCUCAUUUAGCAGAGGGCGACUUCAUCUCCUUUCAUGAACCACCUAAUCCUUUUAGGAAGCUGCUUUCUAAUGACAUUUUUGGGGUAACAACCGCUCGUUUUGUAUCUACAGAUGGUUGUUAGGGCUAAUUUAGCCAUCUCUGGGACCAAAAAAUCAUUAUCAUUACUAUAUAAAAAGUAUGAUGAGUUUUAACAAUAAGGAGUGUAAGAGUGUAUGGAGAGUAUUAACGGGUUAUGCUUAAAAAUUGUGUGUUUAUAAUUAUCUUUUAUUUUAAAAUAACUUUAAACAACAAUUAAUCUUAACUAAUCUUAUCUUAAUGAUAGCUGCUUUCUAUUAAAUUAUUACAAUGAUUAUAUUAUAUAUUUAAAAAUCAUCUUUAAUUUUAAAAUAGCUUUAAAAAAUAACCAAUCUUAUCUUAAUGAUAUCUGUUUUCUAUCAAAUUAUUACAUACAAGUAUAGUAAAACCCGUUUAAAUCACAAUUAUUGAAAUCUUACAUUCCCAUAAAUUACUUUCUUUCAUCACCAUAAUCUUAUCUUAAUGAUAUCUGCUUUCUUCCACGUUAUUGUAUAGAAUUAUAGUAAAACCUUCUUAAAUCACAAUUAUUGAAAUCAUACAUAUCCCAUAAAUUACUUAUUUUCACCACCAUAUCAUUGAUUAGUAUUUAAAUUUUUCAUCGUCUUUUCUCUUAAUUUUGAAUUAACUUAGUGUAAAAAAAGAAUUAACUGUUACACGGAUAGAUUUAUCAAUAUUAUUGAAAACUGAAUAUUUAUUGACAAAGAAAAAUGGAAUGCUAGAUCUUUUUUCUACAUAAUUAAAUAUGAAUAUAUAGUUCUAGGUUUAUGAUCAUUAUAAAAAUUUAAAUUAUCUAAAACAAUAUUUAUAAAAAAAAGGAAUAUCUACCAAGUUUUUGAUAUGAGGUACAUUAUUCCAUUUAUACUAUCAUAUUAUAGUAAAAGUAUGUAAACAAAUUUUUAAAAAUUAGUAAAUAAUUGAACAUUUAAUAUACAUUAAUUUUUUAAAAUUAAUAUUAAUGUACCUGUAGAACUAUUGUUAAUUUUUAUAUUUAAAUUAGUGGUAUUUGUAUAAAUUUACAAUAAAUAAAAAGUUUUUAAAAGUAAGUAAAUAGUUAAACAUUUAAAUUGCAUUAAUUUUUAAAAUUAAUAUGAAUGAACAUGUAGAAAUAUUGUUAAUUUUUAUAUUUAAAUUAUUUAUAUUUGUAUAAUUUCACAAUAAAUAAAAAAAGGCACAUGCAAAAUUCUAGGUUUGAUAUUAGUUUUUGUUAUACCUAAUUUACCUUAAUGUCUUUUAAUUGGUUUUAUUGCAUGCCUUUUAAUUAGAGUUAUUGCAUUUCAAUAUAAGAAAAAUGAAAAGCUUUAAUAAAUUAUAUCCAAAAAAUGUUAGUAAUUAAAAUAAAAAAAUUCCCACUUAUAAUUAUAUUCACCAAUCAUUUCCCUCAUCUCCGAUUAUUAUAAAUGUUAAAAUUGUCUCCAAUUAUUAUAUUGUUACGUGUGAUUAUUAAAGUUAACUAUAUUUUACAUGCAUAUUGGUUUAGAAGAAAAUCACAAUUAGUAAGAAGACAAAAGGUUAUAAACAGUUAAUGAGAUAAUAAAUGGUUAUAUUGAUGAUUAAAUUCACUAUAUUAUGUCAUAUUGUUUAAGAAAACUCCAAAAAAUUAUCAAUAAUUAUAAAAAAUAUAACAGAAAAGGUUUACAACUAUUGAAAUUGAUAAAAAUUUGUUGUAUCUAAAUCAGAAUUUUUGGUAUAUUUUUCACUCAAGUUUUGCUGUAUGCACUGGUUUGACACAUACAUAAAAUUUCCUUUUCUUACUGUUACAAUCUCAGUAAAUUAUGUAACAUUAGUUUAGAUAUGAUAAUUUUCUAUUAUUAGAGUUUUUGUAAUUGUAAUAUACAAAAUAAAAUUUUAAUUGCUUUACAUAUAAUAAAUAUUAUGUACAACUAGCGAUUGCUUAAUGUUGUUUAUUAUAUGGUUUCUUAGUCAAUAUUAUACCAACAACUUAGUUUAAAUAUGAUAAUCUUUUACUUUCAGAGUUUUUUUAAAAUGGUAGAAUGUACAAUAAACUUUUAAUUGUUUUGUAUACAAUAAAUGUUUUGAGUAAUUACCAAUUGCUUAAUUUUGUUUAUUAUAUACUUUACUGUACCAGGUGGAAAACUCAAAGUUUUAUACAGGGAUUUAGUAUAUUAAAGGUUUAUAUCUUGGGAAAAUAUAUUCACGUGUUUUGUUACUAGUAAAAAUAAAAAAGAGAAAGAAAGAAAAGUUGGGCUCUGGGGUUUCAUCUGAUCGGGGUUAAAUAUAUUAUCAAUGUUGAAUAAAGGCUUCAAAUUUGAUCACGGCACGAGUCUCACGUCUACUGCCUUGGUCAAAAUCCUACUUUUUUAAAAUUUAAUGUGUUUAAGAAAAUGAUACGAAUAAAUUUCCACAUUUAAAGAAGUGAGUGGAUACACUCAUAUUUCUCCUACUUUCUAAAUCAUUCGUGUUGUCUUUUCGAACACCCAAAAACGGAGCCUGAUCCAAAAAAAAAUAUCUCCGAGACAGCUAAUUCAAACGAACCUAAACGUGUAGACUAGACGGAAAGAUGUACAAACACGGUAGUUGCUGCAGUUGUCUAGUGGACAAGGGGCACGGACGGUUGUUUCCAGCGAUUUUGACCAUUUUUAACGUGCGUAAUUUUUGUUACACGUGAUGUAAUUUUAUUUGCACAACGUGUAAUUUUAGUAUAAAAUUUUACGAAAAUUUUACGGGCUCCACACACGAUAUAAAAAUCGAUGCACAAUUUAUGAUCUGGAUCGUAUAAAAUUUUUUGGUCAAAUCAUGACCAUUAAAUGUUCAAGGACGGUCAUGCCCUGCCCCUUGUCUGUUGCCUAGUACCAAACUGCACUAAUGAAGAGGUCAAAUCAGUUCAGAGCAUACGGACCAAAUCAAAUCUUGUUAAUGCUGUCCUAAAAGUUGUUUUGUUGUAAGGGUAUAUAAAUCGGUAGUACAUAUGAUUCCACGCAAUACGUAAGAGAAACAGAAUCUCCAUUUCUACUUCCUAAAACACAAUUGAAAAUAUGUAUAAUUUCAGAAACUAUCCUUGAGAUUUAUCAUAAUAUCACUUAACUCCCCUAAAAUUUUUAAAAUCUCACUUACCUCUCUUGAAUUGACAUUUCUUAUAACAUUUUAACCUAUUUGGAGGAAAUACAAGAAAGAUAAAACUUUUGUUCCAAUAUUACCCUUAUGUUAUACUUAUGAAAUUUAUAACAAUAAUAAAAAAUAAAAUAAUGUUAAAUUUUUAUAAGGUAUAAAUUUCUUAAUGUAAACUAUUUAUUUUACUUGUAUUGGAAUAAAAGCAAAAUUUACACCUUGAAAAAUUCAUACGCAUGAAGAGAUUAUUUUAGUUUUUAAUACAACUUAAACUAUACCAUGAGUUGAAACAUAUUUCGCCAAAAAAAUAUCUUGACUUCCUUAAUUGUAACUGUGCACGAAAUUGUUUAAGGUGUUAAUUAUUCACCAAAAUCCUUCUAAGUGAUUGAUCUUGAUUAGAUUUAAUUUAUCCACGUACUUUGCUAUCCCAUUAUGACCCUAAUGUAAUGAAAUAUAAACCAUUAUUAACUAACAAUUUGUUUUCUUUUUUAAUUUACAUUUUUUGUUUUAAAAUUUUAUUUUGUUUUGGAUUUUAGGUUAAAUAGUUAUUAAGAUCAAGGGUAAUGUUGUCAAUUUGUGACGUUUGAUAGGAAUAUUUAGUUUUGUCAAGUUGACAAGGAGGUAAGUGAGAUUUUAAAAAUUUCAGGAGAGCUGAGUGAUAUUAUGACAAAUCUCAAAAAAGGUUUCUAAAAUUAUCCCUUGAAAAUUCUAUCUUCCAAUCAAAUACAUCCAUUUUUUAAAUUCAUAACUUCUUUAUAGGAAGAAUUUUGAGAGAUUUGUCAACGUAGAUUUUACUUUACCCGAAAGCAAUCAAUAAUGCCAAUUGCCUCUUGGGCUCUUAUCCCUAACUUACCACUUAAUUGUGACUGUCACUUGAACAUGGCUGCCUUCGAUGGGGUUCCACGUCGGUUAGGCUCCUCUCCUCCUCUCUCUAGAUUAGACCAAAAAAGGUAAUAGCUGCGACAAAAAAAAAAGAAAAAGAAAAGAAAGCAAUCAAUGAUGAUAGCAUACAGCAGUUGUCCGUACGUAGAUGCCACAACUAGAUCGUCUGCGAAUUACUGGCUUUUAUUUCCGUCAGAGAAUUGUCUGCAGAAAACUCAACGUCGCAUUUGCUAAUUUUGAGGCUGCCGACACCAAAAAUUCAUAGGCGAAAUUAUGAUCUGUAAACUUGAACGGUUGUGCUGUCAUAAAUACAGUUGCAUGCCUACUAAUACAGUUGCCCCAUUGCAUGCCUACUAAUACAAGAAGCUCCUGUUGCAUGCCUACUAAUACAAAAAGCUCCCGUUGCAUUUUCUGCCUUCGAAAAUUGACCAAAUAAUAAUGGAGAAACGAAUAGCUAUCAUCGGAGCUGGAAUCAGCGGCCUGCUUGCCUGCAAGUAUGCUCUAGCAAAAGGUUAUCAUCCGACAGUCUUCGAGGCACAAGACUGCGCUGGUGGCCUGUGGAAUCACACCAUUGAGUCUACUAAGCUUCAGAAUCCCAAAGAAGUUUUCUCGUUUUCUGAUUUCCCAUGGCCCUCUUCUGUUAAAGAAACAUUUCCUCGCAACACUGAAGUCUUGAAGUACGUUCAAUCUUAUGCUCAACAUUUUGGCUUGUUACCUUACAUCAAGUUCAACACCAAAGUGAUUGGCAUCGAUUAUGUGGGCGUUUCCCGUGAAGAGAUGCAGGCCUGGGAUCUUUGGGGUGGAACAGGACAGGCGUUUGGCUCCAAAGGCAAAUGGAACAUAAAAGUUCAGCACACUACUGAAGACAAAUCCAUUAAGGUAAUUUUGUGAUCUUUGCCCGAAGAAAAAAUUUGGCACUUUUUUUUUAUUUUUUAUUUUUUAAAAUCCAUCUCAAGGUGAUUUAACAACGCGGGUCAGCCUUUUAGAUCAAUCUUUAUUAAGUUGUCUGAAUGAUGGCAUUAUCUUCAUAAGGGUUCUCAGCGUGUCAUUUCAAUUUCCAGGAAUAUGAGGUGGAAUUUGUGAUUCUUUGUAUUGGAAGAUUCAGUGGUGUGCCAAACAUCCCUGAAUUCCCUCCAAAUCAUGGUCCUGAAAUUUUUGGUGGUAAGGUGUUGCAUUCCAUGGACUACUCGGCCAUGGACAAUGCCAGUGCUGCGGCAUUGGUCGAAGGAAAAAACAUUGCAAUCAUAGGUUCAGAGAAAUCUGCAGUGGACUUGGCUGCUCAAUGUGCAAAUGUAAAUGGUGAGAAAUUGCAAAUUGCAGUGUAUCAUGAAUGAGUGUGACUCGAUAAUUAUCUAUCUCUUCACAUUGACCCCGAAAUUAUAAUGUAUCAAGUUUUUUAAAAAAAAAGUGGCCUUCCUGGAUGCGAUUUAUGUUUUGCUUCUUGAGAUUUCCUCCUCGGAUAUAGAACUUUUAUCUUUCUUGCAUACAUUUGGUCACUUUUCAGAUGCGCUAAAAAGUUCUUGUUGCACAUGAAAGCAAUUUUAAAGUCAUGCAUUGCUUAAUUAACUAAAAUAUGACAUGCUACUCACCAGGGAUUGACAACCCUUGCACAAUGGUUCAUAGAGCAGCUCACUGGAUGCUUCCUAGUUACUAUGUAUGGGGAGGAGUGAGGAUUGAUUACUUGUACUACAAUCGAUUCGCAGAGAUUUUGGUGCACAAGCCUGGUGAAGGAUUCCUACACAGUGCAUUAGCCUUCCUUCUCUCACCUUUGGUUAGCUUCUUAAUUAAUUAAUUAUAGAAAAAAAUGCCUCACAUGCUUUAUUCAAAACAACGAUAUAUAUAAUGCAUAACUCAAAAGGCGUACAAAUGUGAAUUUCAGAGAUGGGGUAUUGCAAAACUUGUAGAGAGCUAUCUCAGAUGGAAAUUUCCCUUGAAGAAGUACAACAUGAUACCACCACAUGGCUUUCUGCAAGAUGUGUUUUCUUGUGAAUUCCUCAUGCUACCAGAAAAUUUCUUUGACAGAGUGGUAGACGGAAGCAUUGUAUUAAAGAAGUCAAAAAACAUCAGCUUCAGCAGAGAAGGAUUGAUGAUUGAUGGAGAAACUCAGCCCUUGAAAGCAGACGUUAUAAUUCUUGCCACUGGAUACCGAGGUGAUCAGAAACUCGGCAAUAUUUUCACUUGUCCAUCUUUCCAGGAGUACAUCUUAGGGUCAACAAGCUCCACAAUAGCUUUAUACAGGUAUUAUUACUGGACUUAAUUUGGAACCGUAAACUCAUCACAAUGUUCUGAGAUCUAUAUUUGUUACUUUUGACGUUGUGACACUAUCUAUUUUAUACGAGUUUGGCGUCACAUAAUUAUUGCUAAUAAUUAAAGGUUUUGAUUAUUGGCCUUAAAUGUGUAUUCCAGGCAGAUCAUUCAUCCGCGAAUUCCACAACUUGCAGUGAUAGGAUACUCAGAGAGCCUGAACAACCUUUACACUCUCGAAAUGAAAUGCAGAUGGCUGGGACAUUUUCUUGAUCAAACCUUUCAAUUGCCGAGCAUAAAGGAAAUGGAGAAGGAUGUUCGCAUGUGGGACAAGUACAUGAAGCGUUAUGCUGGCAAGUACUACAGAAGAUCUUGUCUUGGUGCUUCGCACAUAUGGUACAACGAUCAAUUGUGCAAGGACAUUGGAUGCAACCCCAGGAGAAAGAAGGGAUUCUUCUCAGAGUUGAUUGAACCAUACGGACCAGCUGAUUACGCGGAACUUAAUCCUCGGUCUUAAAUGAAGAACAUUUUGCAUCGUUGGAUAAAGUUGUUUUGUUGAUUGGGUUGUGCAACAAUAUCUUCUUCCAUACCAAAAAAAAAAAAACUUCCAUUCGCAUUCGUUCAACAAUAUCUUAAAUUAGUACCAUUUACUUGAAAAUAAUUUGUGUUUUGAGUACAAUCAAAGUGUGACUUUUGCAACCUUUUACAUUUUGGCUCAUUUAAAAUUUUCUUACUCCAUAUUUCCCGAUUUAGUAUUUACCUAAACCUGGGAUUGGACCGUAGAUUAUUAACUUUGGCCCAGCCCAAUAGUUGACUUAAUCGGUCCGGUGAUUCGGCAUUAGGCCAGAUUGGAUCUCUAGGUUAAUCAAAUUAGGAGUUGACUUUGACCCACUAGGAAAUCAUUCAGUUUUCCGAUUGAAUUUUUUUUUUCUAUAAUACAAUUGUAGGCCUUUGUUUUUUGAAACAAAGUGUAUAAAUACUUUUGACAAUAUUUAUAAAUUGAAUAUUCAUUUAAAUGUACACAAGUCUUAUCACUUGUUUUAGUUUUUAUUUGAUAAUUACAUUUUUUUAAAAAAAAGCUUGUUUACUUUUUUAUUAUACAAUGAAUUCUUUUAACUGUCAAACUGACAAUAUUUGAGUAGCUACAAAAUUAUUUUAUUUUCAAACAAAGAUAAAAUAAUAAAAAAAUGAUGCUAUAUCUUUAAAACAAGUGACACAAAUUUGUUUUGUAUUUGACUAUGUUAUUUAUUUAUGUAAAAGUACCACAAAAUAAAAUUAAAUCUUCUAUUAAUAUUUGUAUGUUCAUUAUAUAUCUUUUUAAGUACAAUAAUUAGUAUUUAAUAGCACUUUAUUAACUAUUUUAUAUAUAUUUAAAUUAUUAUUUUAUAUUUAUAAAUAUUAAAUUAGUAACUGCCGGUUCAACUAGUGACCCACUGGUCGAACCAGUGACUUGUUGAGAUUGGAUUUCCCUUGCAGGGCCGGGUUUAGUAAAUAUUUGGACCUUUUUUUUCUUUUUUAAUUUUGUAGUUCAGAUUCCAGGAUAGGAGUUUCUCCUUAAGAGUUAAGACACCGUAUUUAAAGAGAAAAACAAAAAAGAAAAAGAAAGAAAAAUUCCCAUAUUGAAAUAAUAAUGAUGCGGCGAGAAGGUAUCCUCAAGUUCACCAACUAAACACACAGUCACACGGGCAGCAGAGCUGACAGAUGCAUCCCUCCUCUGUCCACGCAAAGAAAUCCCGCAAAAAAUAAUGCAACAAAAUUAUCACAAAAAUUUCCCUCCCCUUCCCCUCUUCCUCUUGAAAUCCCCCUUAUAUAUAGCCUUGUCUAUAUACCUAUAUAAUACUGCCACCAAUAAACGUCGAGAAGCAAACAGAAAGAACAAAGAAGAAAGCACAUGAUUUGAGAAGCAGAAGAAACGAAAUCACUCAUUUUUCAAAAGAACAAAGAAGAAAUUACUGAAAAGAAGAAGAAGAAGAUUAUUGAGAUGGCAGCCGUGGCUUUUUCGCCUUGGAUGAUUGGAGUUCAAGAUCGUUUUCCUUUAGACCCGAAAUGCCCUUUUUUUCCUUAUAAUUCCCUGUCUCAUCCUCCUCUCCGGUGCUCCUCCCCUCAACAGUUUCGACAAAUUAUCCGGGCCACCUCUGCUGUUGCUCUUGAACCAGUAAAUAUUUCUUGUCCUUCCUUCCCUAACAAAUACUAGAAUUAUUAUGUACAUUUGUUUGAUUUACACUCUCUUGGAUGCUUUAGGAGCUACUGAAAUUUGAUGCCCAGUGUUUUAACUACUGUUAAUUUUCACAAGGAUAUCUUGCAGGGAAAUGAUUUUGAAGGGGGCCAAAGAAAAGAAAAUAUAUGGGAAAAAAUUAUCUCGAGUUUAUUCGGUGCUUAGUUAUCGUCCCAUUCCUUUACCCGACUAUACUUUUGGAAAAUUAUGCUAUUCAUUCAUGGACUUGUUUUGCUUUCUGUAUCAAUCGUGUUUCAAAAUUUAUACCAUUUAAACGUGGAAAAUCUUUUUCUAAUUGUAUGACGAUUUAACGCGGAGAAAAAAGAAUGUAAUUGCUGCAAUGCAGACUAUGAAUAACUUUGUUGCGUUCAGAAAUUCUAGGGAGACUUGCCGUUGUGUUCAGAAGUGAAUCCUAGUUCUUCAUUCAUGUAAAUUUGCCUAUAAAGUGUCUAGUGAUCUUCCAUGCAUUUCGCUAUGCAACAGUCUUUGUCCCAGGAUGAAGGUGGGUGCUUGCACUUAUUGCGUUCAUAACUGUCUCAAAAGUUUUUUUUUUUUGGAGCAUCUGUUAAUAUCUGUUUAACAAUAUGUGUAUAAAUUAUGUAAAUUUUGUAAUUCCAAGGGGGUCAAUCAAUUUUGCCAUUGUCUUAAGUGAUGACUUGGGAAGUUGCAGGGCAAAUGUUGGGUAUACUUUUUGAUUUUGAUCUGGCAGAACGAAGAAGAGAUGCAAAUGUCCCAUUUUCUGUCUCUCCCUAAUAGCGUACUUUUCUACUUCAGGAAGCACAAAUUGAAUCAAAGGAGGGCUCAAAAAUUGACUUGUUUGCCUGCCCAAUUUGCUAUGAUCCAUUAGUAAGAAAAGGUCCUUCAGGAUUUAACCUGUAAGAUCUAAUGCCUCUUUUAUACUAAUACUUUGGACACAUUAUAUGUUUUAUGCAUGAUAACUUUCAAAAGCUGAAUAUUUGCAGGCCUGCAAUUUAUAGAUCUGGUUUUAAAUGUAGAACGUGUAACAAGACGUAUUCAAGCAAAAAUAUCUAUCUUGAUCUUACAGUUACUGCUGGUUCAAAGGAUUACAAUGAAUUUAAACCAGCUGGAACUGAGCUAUUUAGGUAUGCAUAUGUUACCAUCUCUUUGAGUUGCAUGCUGAGCUUUCUAUAACAUGCUUGCAGUCUACACUUUAGUGUCUUUUGUUGGUUUGGAACUAACUCCCCUUAUUGAUGGGCUUGUGAUUUUCGCUAUUUGGUAGCCACUUCAUCAAAAGAUGCGAACGUUCCUUUUGAAACUUAACAUUGGUUUAUGAGUCACUCAUGUCUAAUGUUGGUGUUCUUGCCUUCACUAGGAGCCCUCUUGUUUCCUUCUUGUAUGAGAGAGGCUGGCGUCAAAAUUUUAAUCGUAGUGGUUUUCCUGGGCCUGAUGAUGAGGUAAAUUUUCUUUGAUUGUUACUUUACAGAUAUUUCCCAAUAGGUAAUGAGCUCUUUGGAGUAGAUUCUCUAUAAGAAAGUAUGGUGUCAAUUUAGGAAUCAAUGGGAGCCAAAUGCAUACCCCACCUUAUGAAGGAGAAUUGAUGUGUGUUCCCUUCUGUCGAAAACAUAAGUAGUUUUGUAAGUCACUGGAGAGGUUGGUGAGGAAAGGUUUAGUCCAUUAAAAUCACUUAAUAUAUUCUGGAAAAUUCCUACUUAAAUUGACUUCUAAUUGUGUCCAUAAGUGCUGAAUGAAUGAGCUACAAGUAUCAUGGGUACAGUUCUGAGGAAGCAUUUUAAUUAUGUGAAACAUUGUUGGAUUAUCCUUCUUUCCCUUUCUGACCUAUGUGCCAAAGAAGGCGAAUUCCCUUUUGGAUCAAGUGGCUUACAGGGAAAUCAUAAGAACACUGUAAACAAGUCCAGUGGCUUACAGGGCAAAAGCUCAACUGUGUCUGGGAGCUAUACCAUUUGCGACCUCUUUGGAUAGGAAGCACAAGAAACUUAGCAUUUCGACCUCAAACUAGAAGAGAACCAGCAAACGCCCUAUCUAUCCUUCUUCCUGCUGAAGACUUACUUGGAAUCAUGUGUCAGGGCUGGCUUUUAUCAUGCAUCCACUGUGACCAACAUGUGUUGACAAAGAAAUCAUUUUUGUUAAAUUGAAUGUGCAUGCCCUCGACUUAGUUUGCGUGGAUUAAAGUUGCAAAAAUAUUUGUGGAACAAUAACAGUGGUAAUUAUGCGUGUGAUACAUUCCAUGCAGUUCAAGAUGGCGCAGGAGUAUUUUCAACCUGUAGAAGGCGGUGUUCUUGUAGAUGUUAGCUGUGGAAGUGGCUUGUUUUCCAGGAAGUUUGCCAAAUCGGGGACCUAUUCAAAAGUUGUUGCUCUUGACUUUUCAGAAAACAUGCUUCUCCAGUGUUAUGAUUUUAUCAAGAGUGACGAUUCUAUGUUAAACUCGUAAGUCACUUUGAUUAAAUGCUCUUUGCAGCUGCUGCAGGUUCUGGGAUAUGAAUUAUUGUGCUUCACGCUUUAUAGGCAUGUAAAAUUUUGGUUAGAGAUCUGUAUUUUCUGAAGCUAUUCUGUUUGAAAAACCUGCAGCAAUCUUGCUCUCGUAAGGGCAGAUAUCUCCCGACUCCCCUUUCCUUCUGGUUCAGUUGAUGGCGUUCAUGCUGGUGCAGCCUUGCAUUGUUGGCCAUCUCCUUCUAAUGCUGUAAGCUUUCUUUGUAUUUGGAGUGUCUCAAAUUGCUUUCAAUGUUCUAGAUAUGAUUUUUAUUGCAUUUUUCCUGAUUUAGCUGGUCCAUUAUUUUAUUUACUCAAAGAGUGUAGAAUCGACUCUAGAAAAUUAGUAGUCAAAAGUUUCUAGAUGCCUUUGAGGUGAAUUGGAUAUAUCUGAUUGGUGAUUUAGCCAUAUUGAGGGUGAUCCUUUUAUUUGAUAAGAAUAUUUGAAAUAAUGUACAGUUGCAAUUUCCUUGCCUUUCUUAUGUCAGGUUGCUGAAAUCAAUCGUAUCUUGCGAAGUGGUGGUGUUUUUGUGGGAACUACUUUUCUUCGUUUCAGUUCAUCAACUCCUGCAUUUUUGAGGCCUCUCAGACAGGUAAUUGUUGUCCUUUUUUUUUUAAUUUUUUUGAAGGGUUCCUGCAAACCUGUUGCUGACAAUAAUGGACAUGAUGCCUAGCUUGGGAUCUUUGGUGAACCGAUUAGAAUUUGAAUUGAAAAAGUACCACUUUUGACCUGGAAUAAGUGUUUUGCUACUGAUGUAGAAGUACUAUGGAAUAACCAAUUGGUUUGCGGUCUUGUUAUUUUCAGUAGUGUAUACAAAGCUGGAAAAACUGUCAGAUUUUAGGCUUUUAGUAUUCAGUUCUGGGAGCUGACUUUCGGUUGGCACGUAAGCAAGGGGUGGCAGUGUGGCUAUAGCUGGGGCACCUACAUGGAAUUUGAAAAAGAAAGGAGAAGGAUGAGAGUAGUAAGAUCUGGGAUGUACCAUAUGCUUUGGGUAGCAUUUAGCCCAUAAAAGUUUUCCAAAUACUUCAAUUAUUGAGUACAAUUGAAGUUUACGAACAAAUAGACAUGAACAAGCACAGAGCCAACAGUAAACUCCAUCUUUCUCUGGAGUCGUUCUUCUUAGGGGAAUAAUUUUAAACGUCAUACCUUUCUUUCAGAAAGUUUUUGAUGAGGUAGUGUAGUUGUUUUCUAUAAUCAUAUCUCUAUGGCAGGCUGGGCGGAACUACAACUAUUUGACUGAGGAGGAGAUCGAGGACGUGUGCACAUCAUGUGGUCUUAUAAACUAUACCAACAAAGUCCAACAAUCGUUCAUCAUGUUUUCUGCGCAGAAACCUUGAAAAUUGGCUUAAUUUGAGUUGGAAAUUAGAUGUUUGCUUCUCAAAUCUUUUCCUUUGCCUGGGGUUAUAAUCGAAGUCGAUUCUUUCCGGAGACCUUUGGUAAGACUUCUGAUUCAGUUGAUGUCCAAGUUAUCUCUACCCUGUCCAUGAUAAACCCAAAAUGUAUAGGCCAAAUGUAAAUAGUAGACCGAAGAUGUAAUCUUGAUAUUCCAUAGAUUAGCUUAUUCUGACAUUGAUUCGUAAUCUGUAAUACAAAUAACGGUGCAAUGAUGAUGGUUUCUCAGUGCAGAGCGUACGUCAUUCCAAAUUUCCAGGCUUUGACCAAUGCAGAGCAAGUGGAAAUUUCACACAGUAUCAUGAAUAAUUUGCUAGAUAUGUGUUUAACAUUCUGGCGUUCGCUGUCUUCUCUGGCACCCCGUUGGGCUCCGAUGUUUAUUCCAUGGCAUUGACUAUGACAACUGCUUUUAGAUUAAAUGUGGUAAUAGUUGUCAACAUCUCACGGUGCUACUUGUCGAAUUUUCCUUGAACAAGUGAAUGAUGGGUAAUUCGAAGUCAAGGAUGUCUUAAACACGUAGAAUUGCAGGAAUAAGGGAUCAAAGCAUAAUAUUGUGUGCUAGUCAGUGGAUGGUGUUUUCUGUUUUAGCAGAGUAUGUCAAGAAACUACUCUAAAUAUUCUUUUGUAAGGAAAAUAGGAAUGUGACAGAUCUGAAGGAUUUCUAUCCCUUCAUGUUUAGACACCUUCUCGAGUAUUUUUUAGAGGUUACAAUUGAAUUUUGUUAAGUUUCAAACUUACCGCGUUUGUCGUACUACUAGAAUUUUUUUAAAAUGAUCUUUUGGACGUUAUUAAUAUACAACAUCAAGUUAUUGCCAUGAUUACGUAUGAGCAUGAUAGAGAUCUAUCACACUACUAAAAUCUUUUUGUAAAUGAUGCUUUAGAUGCUAUUAAUACGUAAGGUCAAGUUAUUACCACAAUUGCAUACAUACGAGCAGAGGUAUCAAUGGGUAGGGAUUGGAUUCGGACUUGACCUGGAUUCGAUAAAAUUUUUCCAGAUUUGAGUUGAAAAAUAAUUAUGAUAUCCGAACUUGGAUUCGGACCCGUUUACUCAAAUAAAAAAACUGGUCGAAUGCAGAAUAUUGGAUUCCGAUCCGUAUUCGACCCGGAUUCGAACAAUAUAUAAAUAAUUAUAAAAUAUAAAUAUUUCUAAAUACAUUCUUUUACCAAAUUAACAAUUUAGUAAUAAUUUUGUAGAUUGAUUUGUGGUUAGUUUUGGUUUGACUAUUGCAAAUUAUUUGUGAUUUAGGUUUGUAAUUUGAUUUGUUUAAAUUUGAAAAUUGGAUUGUGAUUAGUUUGGAUUUAAUUUUAAAAAAUUUAAAUUUGGACCUUUUAGAUCCGAAUUCGACCCAGAUACGAUUCCGAAACUCUAAGAUCAAGAUCCGUUGAGUAUACAGGUCAGGUUCGAAUUUACUACAUAAAAAUGAAUCUGAAUCCAGAAUUUUCAAUUCCAACCCGACCCAUUGUCACCCCUAUAUACGAGCAUCAUAGAGUACUCAAUUUCUUUUACCCCUUUGAGCACAACUUGAAAUUAUUUUUAUUUUUUGGGUUGAUUUUUCUUUCCUUUUGGUGAGUCGGUUUUGGUUUGAACAAGUCCCUAAAUUAAAAGGAGGCCAUGUGGAGGCGUGUGCAAGCCUAAAAAACUAGACUAUUUUUUGAACAGAACAAAGUGGUUUCAGGGCUCAGCUGCAGAAAGAUCCCCCCUCGUGCGGCUCAAACGCUGAUCCAUUCUGUUUGUUCCUCCCCUUUUCUCUUCUUUCUUCCACCUCCCACCCUCGUGCAUUUCUGGAUCUUUGACUUUGACCACACAAACCCGAAACUUGAAAGCCUACGUCAUAUUUAAGAAGGCGGGUUCGAACAAUUUUCAGUCCCAACAGUUUGGGACAGUUGGUGGCUUACAUUCUGCCACCAAACCAUAUUGCUAUUCUACGGUCGUGGUUGGUCUACUUACAAACCCAUUUUACAGUUUGUAAUCUUUUUUUUUUACAAAUUUUCCCCUCUCACCACUCGUUUAAUUUAAUUAAAUGAAUAGAGAUGCAGGAAUGUCAAAUUUUUCAAGCACAAAAGCCAGACUUCCAUACACGUUAAAUGAAUAUUUUCCAUAAAGAUUCUAAACAAUUGUUUGCUUGUCGAUUUUUUUUUUGAGAUAUUUCAUUAUUAAUUUUAACUACAUUGCCAAAAAACAAAAGAUUCCAAACCUUAUGAGAAAAAGAUAAGAAGAUAAAAAAAACUUGAGAGUCAAAUCAAAGUACUUCUUAAUAAUUUAAAAUUUUGGUUAUUCACGGUCAUCCUAGUAUACUCUCAAUAAUUACAAGGCAGUGAACUAAAUUUACCUGAUCUCGGCAUUGUUCUAUAGCCUUGGAAUGCUUUUCAAUUGUUGACCCCUCCCAUGACCACAUGAUGUGCACAAAUAUGCUUAUUUAAUUAGUUUAAUUGUAGAAAUAGUAAUGUUACUUUAAGUACAUAAGAUAGAAAAGACGAAUGUACUCUCGUUUAAUAUGCACCUAACAGUUAAGAUAUACGGUUCAAAAUAGCAUGUACCUUAAUUUGGCAGUGCUACAAAUACAAUGAGCGUGUUUAUCGUAUUACUUGAAAUGAUAGUUGGAAUACUUUUUGUUAUAUAAUGUACGUGAGAUAAAAAAAAUUUUUAAAAAUAGAAAAAGUAGUUAGAGAAUGUAUUUAUAAUAUAAGCAAAAAUAAUAGUUUAAAAAAAUCAGGUAUCCAAAAUGUAUCUGUGACGACUGGCCUCGCAAGUUGAGUGUCCACAACUUCUUGAGUUUCUGAUCCCGCUGUGGGUAAGAGCGUUUCAGUGGAGUGACAUGGUGUGAGAUUCAGUCCACAACAAAGCCAACAAAAAAAAUGAACAACAUGCAAGCAAGCAAGCAAGCAAAGAGAGGAAUAUUUGGGGAAUUACGAGGCUCUUAAGCAUAAGCACCCUCCUUUAGGCUUUCGACAAUAUGGAUUUCUCAUAUGAAAGUCAGUUCAUUGGAUUCUCUGCACGUGAGCUUCAUUACUUGCGUACAUUGCUGUGAAAGAUUGCAUCAGACCACGAACAUUAACAAACAAGGGGGGGAAAAAAGCAAAAAGAAAAAGAAAAACAGAAGUUUCAGUCCAGUCAUAAGAUUGCCAACAUUCUGUCUACUAGGUGACUGUUGCAGGCCCUGCUGUUGUAGCGUUCACUAGGCGGUCGAAAGAAUUGAUGACAAUCUUCCCAACUUCAUCACUGGUUUUUAUUUUUUCCCUCUUACACCUCCAUCACUGAUUGUCACUAUUAUUGGUGCAGCACCAUGGAUAUUAAUUCUUGCUAGCUGCUCGAAUUUCCCUUUUUUUUUUUAUAACAAUAGAAGACGUAGCAAUAGUGAAUGGGCUAGCUUGCGACGUUGACAGCUGUCGAUUAUAUAUAUAUAUGUGAGGCUAUAAUAAGCAUAGCCAAUGACUCAAAAUCCAGCUAUUUGAUUCCAAAGUUUGCAGGAAAAAAUAGAAAUAAGGGUUUUUGUUUCGUUUUGGAAGGAAAGAAGGUUAAAUAUGAAUGUGCUGCAACUAGGACUGGGAACUGGCCAUAUGGCAGGAAUGGUUGGACCAAUCAACCAAGCAAGUGGUCAGUAACCUAAUCCUUGUACACAACACAUUAAUAACUGUUAAUUAUCUCUGAUAAAUGUAACAACUUAAGCCUUUACGUAGAUGUUAUAACCUAGCUACCUCGUAGUCGUGUGCGGCAGGGAGAUAAUGCCUGGUUUAAUCUGACCUCCUGCUUAAUCAUGGCGUAUUUCUACUGUACAAUGAGGUCUAUUUCUUAUGCAGCUUAAUUGCUAAGCAUUUGGGUUGGACUGAAGUAAGAAUAUUCCUCAUUUACUUUCAGUUUCUUGUACCUCAAGUUUGAGCUUGCAUGGGAUAGAACGCGGAGCUUAUAUGGAUACGCAAGUAAAACCCAGAUCAAAGUACUCUUUGAAGCUCACAUUCCUGGCAGCAGCAGACACAUUAUUACACGACAACUAUUGCUCGCAUACGCUUUUCCAUCCAUAUCUUCCGCUGCUUUUGUGUAAACUUUCCAUUUCUUAGAUGAUAAUGAUGAAGAGAUCAAAACUUUCUUCUUUUUUUUUUUAAUACAGAUUUACACAAAAAAUCCAUAGUUUUGGAAUGCAAAAUCUAUUAUUCGUUUGACCAUAAUAAACAUGUGCAAUAAAAUACCAAUUAUCAUACAUUAACUUUACAUGGUUCAAGUGUAAAUUUAAGUAAUAUUUUUGCUCCUUUAUUUAUGUAUUCGUAACCUUUGACUCCUAAAAGCAAAUGUUACACCCCAUUUGUCUCCUCUGAGCUCAGUCGAAGACUUCUUCUAUUCCAUCAUAUGUAACUAAAUGUCUAAUCUUCAAAGAUUCAGAUGUUUUUCUUAGAAAAACACAAUGAAAAGAAAAGAGGGAAACUUUCAAUUUCCUAGAGAUCGAUAUAUAGUCAUCUAAAUAGACAGCUUAUCUAUGAUAACAAAGGAAGCAAAAGAGGACUGAAGGAGAGAUCGGAGUAGAGAUUCGAAAUCCGUGGAACCUUCAAACCCCAGGGUACCUCUUGAUUAAGGUUAAAGGUGCAACAAACAUUAAUGGUGCCUAAAAAUUAGCGAAUACUCAACUAAUCAGGUUGGAGGGCUAUUAUUAUCUCAACCAGUGAUCAGUGAAGUGUGUUUUGUCUGUCAACGCCCCACAUAUAUAAGAACGCAUGCUAUUAUUUUAGCCAAAAUUUGAGGAUUAGUGGAGUUGUUGUGUAUUGUUGCCAUUUUUUAUUUCCCAAAAACCGAAUUUCCUGGUACAUGUCUGGUCUCUGCCCAAUGAGAGUUAUGGGAGAUCAAGUCAAUAUGUGACAGCAGACGCAACGCAUGACCUCGAUCUUCUUUAGUUGUAAUGCAUUACCUCUUUAAAAUCAUGGAUAUAAACAAAGCCAAUCAGUGAGAAAACAAACGGCAUCCUUUUCUGUGGUUCUUUGCUCGAUCUGCUUGUCGUCGCUUUUCGGCUGUAUGCCUUUUUCUCUGGUCCGGCACAUUGGAUUUUUCUUCAUCACAUUUUUGCUUCUUCGUUUGGUUCCUCUUUUCGUCUCUUUUGCCGGCAAAUUCAACGAGAACGAGUAUGGUUUGCUAUCCUUGAUCAGUUGGAUAGCUGAACCGCUGUUAUCAAAUUGCACGAUCAAGGACAAUGUUGGUCCACCAAAGGAUUAAUCCUGAAUAAUUAUUUGUACAAAUUAACUAUGCAAAUAGUAACUUAACUUUUGGUUCUCGGACCUUCUGGAUGCAUGUAGUGUACAAUUGCACUAUUUCACAAGCACAUAAAACCUAUAUGUGUGGGUUAAUUAGUGUACUUAUAUGCACCCGGUCUAUAAAGAAUACCCUGACAAGUUAUUCUUGUUAAUUUUCUUUUGACGUCUAAUCAUACCGCUAAACUGGACUCUAUUAUUCCCUCUAAUCAUCACUUAACAUGAACAAGUCAAGAACGUAUAAAUCGUGAUAAAGGUGGGACAAAAAUCGCACUAAUUACUCAAAUUGGUAAAAGUCAAAAUUUAACCCUCUAGAUAAUAAUGCAGUACUGCGGACCUUAACAUCCACCGGCCCUUUGUGGAUUGUAUAAUCUUCUGGUUCAUGAACUUAGCCUUGAGCCAUUCAUCCCCAAGGCAAAUGCUCCCAGCAGAAGUAAGUUACGACUCAGUGAAAUAAAUAAGCUUGUAAAUGCUACUCUACUUUUUUUUUUUUUCUCAAUUUUCAACGUUUCACAUUUUAAUCUUACCUACCUUUCAACUAUAUAUCAUGGACAACCUUGUUCAAGCGUGCUGGUAGUCGAAGAUGAAAAUGCAUUCAGCUCGUCGCCUUAUCCCAGACCCACCAAAGGGCUUUUGUUUCUCUCUGCUGCACUUUUCUUUCUGGUUUUAAAGUUUCCCAGAAGAAGUAAAAAUAGAUAUUUUAGGGACACAAAAUGAUAACGCACGCCACGAUGCAACCUUCAGUAAGUGGACGGCCAGGAACGUGUUUUGCAAAAAUUUAAACGUUAAAGGUUUUAACUCUAUAGGCUAAAAAAGAUAAUAUACUAGUGGCAUAUAAAACAAGUAAAUUCAAGACAAAUUCUUCUUUACUUCUGGCUUAGUUCAAGAAUCAAGGCAAGGCAACUAGCUAGCUCCGCCCUAUUUCACCGAGAAAUGAGAUUCAAAAAAACAAAAAACUUAUUACCGGUAUGUGUUAGGUUAAAAAAGAAAAAGAAAAGAAAUUCCUUGGGGUUCUCACUCAACCAAGGAGUUGUUUAAAUUAAGGUUAAAGCUCUCAACACAAGGAGAUUGGAAAUUUAGUCUAAGUGGGGGAAGUAGGCUAUGGGAGACACGGGAACAGCGCCCACGUUCUCCUCAUAUCUGACUCCCCCUUUCUUUAUUGCUCUUUCUUCCUCACACACACAUUACACGCACUAAUUUAACAAAGGACAAGUGAUACUCUUGACAAUAUGUUGUGUAUCCAAUCUAGGAAUAAAUAUAUCUCCUCCCUGGCCUCUCUUCUCUUGUGAUUCUCCAUAAAUACUGUAAUAUCAUCAAUACCCCAAAGCCUUCUCUCCUUCUCUCUCUCGCUCAUACAUAAUAGUUGGCUUGUCAUCCAGUCAUCCACCAUCCACUUGUGGACGAGUUUCUUGAUCAAGUGAUCAUGGUAGGUCAUCUCAGGACCGGGUUUCAUUUUGUUGUUGUUGGUGUUUUAUUUUUAAUUUAUUUUUUGGUUGUAGAAAAAAUUAGUUUGAAUUGAGGGAAUUGAGUUAACUUGAAAUUUAAUAUGAUGAUCAUAUGUAAAAAUAUAAAUCUGUAGGGAAUUCACAAGCCUGCGUGGUUGGAAGCGCUGUAUGUGCAGAAAUUUUUCGUGCCAUGCUCAAUUCAUGAAAGUGCAAAGAAGAAUGAAAAAAACAUCUGCUGCUUGGAUUGCUGUACAAGUAUUUGUCCGCACUGCGUCAUGUCUCAUCGAUUCCAUAGGCUUCUUCAAGUUCGACGUUAUGUAUAUCAUGAUGUUGUUCGAUUGGAAGACCUAGAGAAACUCAUUGACUGCUCCAACGUUCAGGUAAUCAGAAAUAUCUAACCUGAAAAUAUGGCCAUGUUCUAGUGCUUAAACUUGAUUUUUCUACUUGAAUUUCCCUCUAUAUCGUGCCAAUAAAUGAGCUGAUCAACACCUAUAUUGUAACAACCUGCAGGCUUACACAAUUAACGCUGCAAAGGUGGUGUUCAUCAAGAAAAGACCUCAAAACAGGCAAUUUAAGGGGUCCGGGAAUUUUUGCACCUCUUGUGAUAGGUGUCUCCAAGAACCCUUCAUUCAUUGUUCUCUUGGGUGCAAGGUAAAUUCCAAAUUCAAGUCGAUUUUCGAUUCUGUGAGUCUCACAUCCCACAGACAUAUCUUCUUUAGCAAAAUGUACUACUAAAUACUUGUUCGUCUAUGGAGCCCAAAUAUAAUCAUCAUACAAUUAUCAUGAAUGUUGUCGAAAUUAAUUUGCUUUUAUAGGGUAAUACUUAAACACGAUAGUUUUGCAUGUAUUACAAGUUGUGGUUGUAAAGUCUUGGAAAUUAUGAUGGUAAGUAGCAAAAUUUCGUGAUCGUUUUAAUGACAACCAGGUUGACUUUGUGCUUAAACACUACAAGGACCUCUCUCCAUUUCUGAGGGCAUGCAAAGUCUUACAACUUAGUCCAGACUUCUUCAUUCCUCAAGAUUAUGGUGAUGAUGAAAUGACAAAUGAGACCCCUCAUUCAACAAUUGUGGACUGUGACGAGCCAUUGAGCUCCUCAUCGGGCUCUUCGGGGUCUGAGAAUAUGAGCUUUAUGUGCACCGAAUUUGUGAGGAAGAAGAGAAGUGGAUUAUACGUUUGUGGAAGAUCAGCAACUAAGAUCACAGAUGAGGAUAUGGCUACAAGCAUGAGUAGAAGAAAAAGAGUUCCCCAUAGAUCACCACUAUGCUAGACAGUUCUAAAGAUAAUUAAUAGUAACUUUUUACUACUUAGUUCUUUGAGAUUUGACCGACUCGAUCAGGCAACAAUUGUCACCAUCCUUCCCCUUCCCCAAAACCCAGCCUACCCACAACAAAAAAAAAAAAAAAAGAAAAAGAAGAAAAAGAGGUCCAAAAAGAAUCCUCUCCUCCUCAUUGUGGGUUAAUUAAUUUACUUGGUCGGGCUGUUUUGUCUUAAUGGCAUCACGUGAUUCCCAAUUCCAAGUUAUGGUUUUGUACAUUUUGUCUUGAGAUUUUCACGUUGUACUAUUCGUUCUUAAUUCAGGUUAUGAUUAUAGAGCCGUUUUUGGUGUAUUUACUGCUAAUGUUUUCUUCAAAUACAAUUCAUUAGUAGGGUCGUACCUUUCUUUUGCUGUAAGCGAAACGUAGCAUUUGUUUUAACAAUCCUGGAACCUCAAUUGUUACUCAAUUAAGGUGAAGAAUUUGUUGGACAAGUUCAUCAUACAUACAAUCACUGCUUUCCGUGAAUAUUUCUGAAUACUUCCACAACAUAUAAUAAAAUGGCUUAAGCACAUGUAUAUAGGAGGUACAAUUUCAAUUGCAGAGUGUGAAUUAUGUGCUAUUUAUGUGGUUAUAAACUGGCUUAAGGUUUCGUUAGACCGUUAUACAGCAGUAGCAAAAUAUUUACUCGACGUUUACAUGUAGAUCUUGAGGAAUAGCUUUCUUAGAACACAAAAUAUUUUUAUUUUCGUUCAUCGUUGCGACUAACCAUAGAAAAAUGUUGUAAACGAUGAAGCAAUUAACAUCUGCUAGUUAUAAGGACAAAAGGCGAAUUUGGCACUAAACACAAAAGAAUCUUCGACUUCAUUUCCUACAAGUGAGUUCCUUCUAUGUUCUACCAUCAAGUCAUCAGCAUGGGUAAAACAUCGCAUGUUCCUCCCAAAAAAAUAAUAAUAAUAAUCAUCGCAUGUCACGGAAGUGGUAAAGCCUUUUGGAAGGGAAACCCUGAAUUAAAGUGCAUAGCAAUUCCCCAUAAAACUAUUAAUGAAGGACGUAUAAAUGUUUGUCUCCCAAACUUGAUGGAAAUUUCACUAUAUUGAGAAGAGCAUUCAAUAGUAUUGCUUUGGAUACUGGCCCAAAGAUGCCUCAAAAUUUUGUUGCAGUCGAGUGCAAGCAUUUGAGUCUUUUGCUUGUAGAUGAUCAAUGAACAGGAACUUUCAUUUUUACCUUCUCAUGGUAAAUUGCCUGUAAAUAUCUAACUUAGACGUAUUCAUAUGGGAUUGUCACGAUUCUGUUUUAUUACUUGUAUGCGAGUAAGUAGUAACAUAAUCUUCGUCUCCUUCUCUUGCCGAGGCCUUUUUUGACUUUGACCAUUUUGGUUAUUUCUACCUGCGUAUAUUCUUGACCAGUCAAAUGCGGAAAGAGUGGAAACCCUACUGAUACACACAAUUUAUUUAGGGUAAACAAAUAUCAACUGUAGCUUUUACUAAGGCACCCAACCCGUAUGGCCGUGUCCAAACUUGCUGCUCCUUCCGUUUCUCCGCUGGGCUUUUUUUUUUUCUGGUUUCUUGUUUUACAUGGGGAAGAUAAUGUACAUGUUAAAAAGUUUCUCUAGUCAAUAAAAUUUGGAAGCUUAGAACUUAGAAGGGUAACACUUUUGAUUCCAAGGCCGAGUUUGGGGUUGUGAAGGGAAAAGAAAGGGAGAGAAUGUCUAAGCUAUGGGAGGAAAGAAAAAAGAGAGAGAGAGGAGAAGAGAGUUUUAACUUGUUUGGGAGUUUAAGAAAGAAAAAAGAUAAUUGUGAUAUCGGUAACUCAUUCAUUGGUACUUUAUAGACAACUGUGGCGUUUAAACAAGUUUGGAAGUUUUGCUUCCACUUUUUUGCCGUUUAUAUCCAUAAUUGGAGAUAAGGGUUUUUGUACUUGUUCAUCUCUUCAUUGUUCUCCCUUUCUUUCCGUUUAAGGUGAGAGAAAAAAGAUUUACAAACAAAGGAAAGAUGUGCGUUUAACUUCCUUUUUCCUUCUUUCUUUUCAAAUCCCUCCAUCCAAACUAGGCCUAAGGUACUCACCAUUUUCAAUCUUGUUUCUGCAGAAUAAUCCAAUUUAACCUUUAGCUUUCGAAAAGAAUAAAAAAAUUCCAUCACAGGCAUGGUGAAUCCACUUUGAGAAAAAGAAACGAAAACCGUAGUACGCGUGAAAACUACUGAUUUCUCAUGGCCCAAUGGGCCUGCUUAAAGAAUGAGACGUUUUGUUUUAAAACAUUGGGCUCAAGAGUUGGUCAUCGGGCUUCCGGAAGAGCCUUGGAGGUCAAAUUUUCACGUGCCUAACCAGGGACUGAAAAAGCAGAGUUGUGUCCGUCACGAAUGACUUGGUGGAAUUCUUUGUUUGGUGCAGUGGAGGGGCAGAGGCCCUUUAAGGAAAGAAACUAAUCUUUGGGCUCCUAGCUGGCUCUUUAAGCUCUAUCAAAUGAAUUUGGACUCUCCAAAAUGACCAGAUGAACUCCGUCGUUAGCACUUAACAAUUCUGCUUCAGAGGAAUGAAUAAACUACUUCGUUAGCAUGAUUAUAGGUGUUUAGCAUAGAAAUCUGUCUAAUCACGAUUUGCUUAGCAUAAUUAUAGGAUAUCUGUUUAGCAUAUUUGUAGCAUAAUUACAGGAGAUUUGCUUAGUAUAAUAGUACUUUUUUUUUUUUUUUUUAUAAUGUAUGAAUAGAUGUUGUAUUCUUGUAUAGAAAUAAACUUUUAAAUGAAUGUGGUUUAGCACUCCAACACGUACGUAACUCUCCUAUCUUUCAGAAUAUACGCUUUAAUCUAAUGUGGCUUCGUUUGAAGUAAAGUGGAAUUGCGGAAAUGUUAGUAUUAAGGAUUAAUGUCAAUAAUGCAACAUGUAUUUAUAUUCGCUGGUAUAUAAAAAAGAUUAAUCACAGUUGUAAAGCACAAACUCCUAGCUAAUGUAUGCAAUAUGCAGUCAUCUCACGUCGCACGAUGUAUAUAGCAAUUGUAAUAGUGCAUUGGAACCAACAAAGGGAAUUUGGUUUUGAAACUUAAGCUAUGAAAUGUAGGCCUAAAAAAUUAACCAAAAACUUAUAGAAUAUAUAUUUGAUAAAAUUAAUGUGUAUGAUGAGACAAUUUACACACAUACAAGUAUGUAUGGAAGAACAAGGAAUAAAUAUCAACAAUAUAUUAUUAAUCACACAUAACAGCAGACUCUCAAAUUUCAGUCGCCUAAACUGAUACAAUAAUAAGACUCCUCCUUAUAACUACAAGAAAUUUGCUAAUAACAUCCUGAUUUCUACAAUAAAACUAUUAAAAACUUGACUUGAUUAAAACACUGCUAAAUAACCAUUUAGAAACUUCUAGUUUUUAGACUUGAUUUAGUAUACCAGCAUGAAAUAGGGUUUAUAGCCCAACAAAAGACAUGGUACAUCAGCUCAUGUAAAUCUACAUCAACAUGGCAUAUAUGGGAAUACCGGCAUCAUCUAAGGGGAUUGUGGCACUCGAAUUGAAAUCACCCGGCUUUGGCAAACCAACGUCCACUGCAACCAUAGACCUGGCAAAAUGACUGCACUGCGAGCAGCGAUAGCAGCACUACGGUCGAAAGGAAAGUGAGACACUUCCAGGAACGAUACACAUGUUUCUUCAAAAACCUGUAGGUUUUCAAUUUUCUGGUGCUGUUAAAUUUCUCGUUUACCUUGUCCACGGCUACCUCUACGGAAGACUUGUUCUCCGGGGACUUGCCUGUUGAUCUCCUGAUCCCAUUAAAAAGAUUAGCAAUUUCUUCAUCACUCAGGCUGCCUUGAAUAAUGCCCUCUUUCUUUAGCAAAUCCACAUCCUUGGGAGUGUCUACUAUUCCGCAUAUCAAAUCCACAUAUUCCGCGAGUUCAAGGGUUCUAUUGGAACCCGGUGGAGCAACUGCAGCCUCGUAAGCCACCAAAUUGCGCGGUAUGAUCUCUGAAUCAGUGUUCAAAGUGAUCUCAGGGAGAUAAAUGUGUUCUCGUCUUCAUCAUAACCAACGUCCCUGAUGCCCCCACCUGUGCGCUUGAAAUCUAUCUUAGCAAAUGUUUUAAGCUGAGAAGCAGAUGGGAUAUCAAUUUCCUCUACUGAACACUCACUCUUGUCAAUCUACCCGAUCUUAUUUUUGAACAGCUCUAAAAGCCCCUACCAAGGGAAGCUUUUCAAGAAAGAAAUAUCCUUCUCCAGACCUCCCAUAUCGAACACGCUGGCUGCUGUGUCUACAAUCCCCAGUGCGGUUGAAGCCUCACCUUCCACUUCAUUGACCGGAAUGCUGAAAUAACGAUCACCUGUACGUAAAUAAUCAUCGUCCUGAAUUCCCCGAUUGUUGACAAUAAGAUAGUACAAAUGAGCCAGGAGAUGGACGCCAGCUGGCAUAUGACGACGAUGGAUCUUUUGCUGAGAAAUUUUGAGGGGGAAGUGCGCCCAGCAGAAAAAGAAAGUGUCAUGAAUCUCAGAGCGAUCGGAGACUCAGAGAUUCUUUCGUACUGGCAUUGGUUUAAUUGGUUUAAUGGGGCCAGAAUCAAGUAAACAACGUAAAGCCUUUCUUUAGAGGUGGCAAUUUGUCCCAAGUCCCAAUAGGUUACCUAUGCCCAUGGGACUUUCGGCAGGAUGGGUAUUGGAAUUUUAUAUUAGAUUUAAAAUGGGACAAAUCUCAAUUAUACCCAUUAAUUGAUGGAAAAUUUUGGAAAAUACUUGGAUACCCAUUGGGCUCAAAUAGCAAGGGCUCCGUUUGGAUUAACUAUUUUUGGAGGUUAUUUUUGAAAUAUUUUAUUGUAGUAGUGUAUAUGAAAAAUUUUUACUAUAAAAUUUUUUUGAAAUAUUUGAUAUACUAAUAUGGAUAGGAUGUUUUUGAGUUAUUGUAUAUUACUGUAACAUUGUAUUUGAAAAUAUUUAUAAUCAUACCAAACAGAGUCUUAGAUUCCAAACAGAGCCAAUCCAAACAGAGUCUUAGAUUCAAAAAUUAUCUUAAACAAUUUUUAUAAUCAUACCAGCGAAUAUAAUCUAGUAGUCUUCCUAGUCAUUAUUCAUAAGAAUUUCCAGCAUUUCAGUUAGUUUAGACCUAUCAUCCUUGGAUAAUGAUGAGGAUAAAUUUUCAACACCCUAAAUACCUUGGCCAUCUUGAUAUAUGUUGGAAUAUGUCUGUAUAUCUAUCUUUUCCUUUAUUUGUUAAUCCAAUUUUUUGUGAAAAUCCUGAGUAUAAAGCACUUGCAUGUUUAUUUAAUAAAACUAAAAGAAAUUUAAUAAAUCAAAAAUAUUAAAAUUAUAUAAAAAAUAAAAAA
rnacentral:lncRNA from 1 species